UUAAAUAUUCUCGGUUCACUCAAUCAUUUAAAUUUAGUAGUUUAUGAGUUAUGUUAGGUGACAUAGAAAACAAGUGUGGUUUCUUAAGCUAUUUGGAAUAUUUUAAUUGUUACUGCUUCACUGUUAUUGUAAAGUUGUUUACCUUAAUUCUUCAUUGGGUGCAUCAUAUUCAUGACCCGUUAUUCUCUUUUGAAACUGCAAAAUGAUUCAAGCUGCCAAAGUUUUUCAAGUAUUUUGAGAAUGAACUUGGAGCAACUGUGAUCUUUGGAUUAUUUGCAAUAUCUUGGGUCAUUCUACGAUUAAUAUUCUUCCUCUUUUGGGUCAUCAAAUGUACAAGGUUGGCCUGCAUGAUAAAUGAUUUGAUGCCACCUUAUUUGGUCGUCUAGCAGUUUCGUUGGCUUAUUUGCUUUUUUGAUUUGCAUUUUCCAACUAUGAUCUUUAGUUCUACUUGAACUUAUCAGAUAUGCUGGUGGGUUCUCAUAUCCUCAAUGAUUUGGAGACAGCUGAAAAGUGGUCAACUUAGGGAAGAUAUAAGAUCUGGUAAGCAUUUUGAUGCUUCCAUUAUCAGUUUGAUUCAUUUAGUGUCAUCAAUUAUUCCCAGUAGUCUUUCUCCCUCUGUGGAAAUAAUCAUUGUUUUUGCUUUGAUAGUUUACAGGAAACUUGAUCCCAUAUAAUAGUUUUGCUAGAACUUAAUUAGUUAUAUUCACAUGUGCCUAAGCCUUAGCCAUAUUUAAGUUCUUGUUUCAAAACCUAGAUAAAAUGAACUUAUAAUUGGAUAUUAAUUGUAAAUCAAACAAAAGGGUAAAGGAAUUAAUUAGUUAUAUUCACAUAUGCCUAAGCUUUGAAGGAAAGUUAGCUGCCUUUAUGGGUACCCUUUUGGUUCCACAUUUUAUUGCCGCAAAGAAUUAAUUAAAGUUACAUCAGAAACUUGAAAGUUUUACUUUAAUGGAUAAUUCUUUAUAAUGAUACUAUUGGCUAUAGUCAAUUGGUGUUGCACUUGCAGGUUGAGAGAAACUGCUGGACUUAGGAGUUUUGCUGGGUAUUUGUUGAGAAUAGGAAUUUAUCUACUGGAAUUUCACUGAGAAUAUGGGAGAAGUCUUGCACUACAAGAUUUGACGGCUUCAUAGCUUGUAAAAUUUAAAGCAUUUGCUCGAGUUAACUUUUUUUUAUUACUUUGGAUGUGUUAAUUGUUGGAUACAAGUGUUUUUGGAUGGUGAUAUUAAUAUAAAGUGUUUUUAGACUUGAUAGAAUGUAUAAUUUAAUUUUUGGUUUAUAUUGAAUUUGUGAUAAAAUUCAUAUGCAGGAAUGCAUAAGUUUAAAUAAAAUAAUUUAGAAUUUCUUUUAAUAUAAACUUAGAUCCUGUGACAAAAAAAAUCAGUCAUAAAUUAUGUCACAAACAAAAUAAUUAAUGAUAAAAAAUUUCAAUUAUUAAUUCCAUCACAAACAAAAUAGUGUACCCACCAAAAUUAAUUGGAUAAUAAUUUACGCGUAAAAAAUAAUUUUUCCUCCAAAAUUUAAAUUUCGCGCAAAAAAAAUAAUAAAAAUAUUCAUUUUUUAAGAUGACUGACAUAUGACUUUGAAACAUUAUCAUAAGUUAAUGAUAGAUUUUUUUUCUAUCAUAAAAGAGUGACAGAUACAUAGAUGAUAAAUAAAUUCACUGUCAUUCACCCUCCUUUAUGAUAGUUUUUUUCAGUCAUCUAUUACCAGUUUUCUUAUAGUGAUUAUUAUUGUUAUUGUUGUUUAUUACUACUACAAACAUUUAGUAUUAGUAUUGAUACUAUAUUGGCGCUUGUACUUAUUUGUAGUUGGGCCUAAUUUUUGCGAAGCCCAUUUUAGUCAUUUUCAUCCAACCCAUUAACUAAUAGCAGGCAUAAAAUAGAGAUUGACGAUAAAAUAAGAGCUAACUUUUUCUUCCACCUUUGGUCGGCCGUGAAUGUUCAAGUUAGAGUAUAAACUUAGAGUUAUUGUGUUUUAUCUCUGUGAUUAAGGAUUGGAAAGUUUUGAUUCUUGAGCUUAUUGUAUUAGUUUUAUGCGUACUAUGUGUUGGGGGAUUGUUGAUUAAAUGAAAAUCAAGAGGAUUAAGGGGAUAUUGUGUUAGAGUUAUUGUGUUUUUUGUAACAGUCGCCCAUUCUGAAAAUUAUGUAAAUCUAUUUUUUUGAGUUAUAAUUUUUUUUAUAUAUCUAUCGAAACUAGACAUCUUGAGGGUUAUAUAAAAUUUUGUUUCAACUAAAAAUGAUUUCUAUUCCAUUUUUAAUGAAUUUUUGAAUUAGGCCCUGUGGUUCUAGAAAAUGACAUUUCUAUAGUGCUGUAAGAUGGAAAAGAAAAAUGUUUAAAUUGAUCAAACCGUCUCAAAAAAUUAUGAAACUUCUCAAAUUUACUCUUUUGAUGUCUAUUACAUCAUAUCCAAGAUUGGGAUGCUAAUUCAUUGUAUUUGAAUUUUUGUGAAUUAAUAAGUAAAGGCAUAUCCAAAAUUGGGCUCCUAAUUCCUUGUAUUUUAAUUUUCUGUGAAUUAACGAGUAAAAGUCCUCAAUUUUAGAUUCUAGAUUUCAGGACAUAAUAAUCUUGGAAAAAAAAUUAUUUGGAAUAAUUUUGAUAUAUAUUUAAAAAAAGUAUUAUUUUAAAAUUUUCUAAUGUUUCUCCUAAUUUGCUCUGUUAUAAUUGUCAUGUUGAUACAAAAUCAGGAUAAUCAAACAAACAAACAUUAGUUAGCCCUAGUUAUCAAUAGAAGAAACGAUAUUAAAUAAAAUUGUCAUUUUCAACAAAAGAUAAUAAUAUAUAUAUGAUAAAAAAGAAUAAUUAUAUCACUCUAACUGAUAUUUACGGGGAAAAAAAUCUCACAGGAUACAUAUUGCGGUGAAACCUUUGUUAUUUGUGUGUGAAUAUUUGGCGGCAACUAUUAAGGCGAAAGCAAAUCCAAUAUUAAGACAAAUAAAUAAUUAUUUAAAGGUAACAUUUACAAAUUCACGAGUUUUUUUUAUUUUUUAUCAAAGGAUGUGUGUUAAUUACAAAUGAGAAGAACUUGGAGAAACAAUAUAUUUAAAUACAAAUCAACUUUAAUAAAUCUCUUUGACGCAAUGCAUUAUUUAAUUAUUUAAUUUUUUUUCAUCUACUUUGGUGCUCAAAUCAAUUGAGAGAUUCAUUCAGGAACCAACUUUUGGCCAUGGCUACUGGACCGAAACUGUUACAGAGCAUGAUCAGAGUUGUGAGGAUGAGCACACUUGAUUAUCUUCUAGCUGACGUGUAACAGUUAGUUAGCUGAGUCAGCAUUAUUGUUAACAAACUCAUUAAGCGUGUAUAGGCGUUAUAACAAACUCUAGUCAACUUCUUUACAAUGUAUAAAUACCGAGCUUAAAACAUUUUUUGUAUAAUACAGUUUUAAUUCUAAUAAAUUCCAGAUUGAUUCUUCUUCAUAUCUUUUCUUCAUUUUCUCGUUGAUUUUCUUACUUACCAAACACACAUUUACAUAAUCUUCCAGAAACCAUGCAGCAAAAUUGACAUGGAAGGAAUUUAAUAGAGAAAGAGAUAUGGGCAUUGAAAGUUACCUGAGAUGAGUUGCUGCAUUAUUUAUAUUCUAGAACCCCACAAACUUACAGUAAGGAUUGAGGACAUCUUUAGCAUUGGCUUGAUCCCACUCCAAUGAUUCCCAUAAUUCUUUCUUUAUCUCAAUAACUUUAAGCGCAGCGGGUGGAGAUGGUUGCCCAUUAUCAAGCAGAGGAAGCGAAAGAGAAAGCCGCUUCAAUUUGGGACAGCCAUAUACUUCAAUUUCUUGGAGAGAAUUACAAACCAAUACCCCAUUAUUGCUGCAGACGCUCUUAAACUCUGGCAACUUAGAAAAACGCAACUUCUUCAAUCUAGGAAGUGUAACAGUAUUAAUGAUGGUAUUUGUUGCUAAUUCUUUCUCAGUUUCUUCAUCAUCGACCGCUACUAUCUCCUCGAUUGAAUCGCAGCCUUCGACUUUGAGAACUUCCAAGUUUUGGAGGGCAGGCAAUAACCGAAGUGAGAACAAAUUCUUUAAAUUACCACAAUAGAUAAACCGAAUAACUUUAAGAUCAUGUGAAAACUUGCCAAUGUUAACUAAUCCUUGUUCCCUUGGUAAAACAUCAUUUAAGCUUGCAACGUCGUGGACCCUAUUCAUUUGUAAAAAUUGAACAUCUUCUGGGAGCACAAUGGGUUCUUCUCUUUCACAGAUUUUGCAAGCGAACAAGCAUACUGAUUUAUGCUUGUAUAAUUUUUCGAGAUGAGUAUAAUUUUUCGGGAUGAGAUGAGUCAGAAAUCGCCUCUUGCCAGAUGCCGACAGCCAAAGACAAUAAUCUUUCGAUCCUCGACCAUCCGCAGAUUUAACAUAUAUGUUGAAAUCUUUGAGUUUAAAAAAAUGGCCUUCAAAAGAGUCCAAUCUAUCGCUCAGACUAGCUGCCUCUUCCACUGUUUCUCGUAAAGCUUCAUUCCCAAAAGAUAAUUUCAAUUUGUAGAGAUUACGUAGUCUAGGUAAUAUACCAGCCGGGAACUUCUUCAGCAGCGGCAAAUAGAGAUAAAGAUGACUAAGGUUUUCCAACAUUUCCAUACCUUCUGGGACUUCUUCUAUCACUGUUGCUUCGAGGUCCAAGUACUGGAGAGCCAACAGCUUUGCCAAAGAAGGAACUCGCUUUAAUCUUCCACACAUUCCAAGCAACAAUGAUCUGAGAUUCGUCAAGUCAGAGACGGAACUUGGCAAGACUUCAAUGUUGGUGCGAGAAAGAUUCAGAACCUUCAAACCAUGCAUGUGCACAAAGAAGCAUUCAGGAAUCCUCUGUAAAAGUCCAUUGCGUUGUAGCAACAAAGUUGAAAGAAUUUCACAAUGUGGGGACAUAUUUGAAGGGAUUUCCUCGAUGUUAUUCCUCAUCAGCGAAACUCUCUCGAGAUUCUCUUCCCAUUCUUGUUCACCUGGAAAUUUUAGCAAACGUAGGCCAGCUUUCACCAUGAAUAAAGGACUCUCGCUUGUAAUGCGUAACGCCAUGUCUCUUAUAAGAUCAUGCAUCUUCACACAACUACCAUCUUCAGCGCUUUCCAAUAAGCAGCAAUUUACAAGCCUGUUCAAUAUAGUAUGCCCUCUAUCAUAUUUUGCUUGCACAUCCUUCACUUCUUCGAUAAACCCUUCUGCAAUCCAGUAAUCUAUCAGCUCAUCCUUUGGUAUGGCAAAGUCUUCAGGAUACAGUGCACAAUACAAGAAGCACUGUUGGAGCUUUUCAUCUUUCAAGCGAUGGUAACUGAAUUCUAGUCGCCCGAGUACAUCAGCAUUUACGCCAUUCCGACUUCUUACAAGUCCACGCAAUUCAUUGAGCGCAUUUCUCCAUUCGUGAAUUUCUUCUUCGCCGCUCAUGGAAGCAGCUACAGUUACAAUUGCCAGCGGUAAACGACCACAUUCCUCAACAACUUCGUUUAUGAUUUCUUUAUUCAAAGCUGGAACUUGCAAAAUGCUGUUGCCAACUCCGUCUAUGAACAAAUUAAAUGCCUCCUGUUUAGAAAGCAAUUCAACUGCGACUUGUUUACACUUCAUAGACCGACAGACCCUAUGUGAACGUGUAGUUAUCACCAAUUUGGAUCCGUUCUCUUCACUAGGCUCAGGGAUCCCUACUUCCUCGAGAGGAAAUGCUUCCCACAUAUCAUCUAGUAUCAACACAAACUUCUCUUUAGCUUUCAACAUUCCUAGCAACCUCCCUGCACGUCUUACUUUAUCUUCAUUUUCUGAAAGACUUUGUUUCAAUGCAGUUGCAAUAUCAGUUUGCAGUUUAAAAAGAUCAAGUGGUUGAGACACAGUGACCCAAAUCACAUCAUUGAACUUAUUGGGCUUUUCCUGGAGUUUGUUGUUGAUAUGACUCAUAAUAGUGGUUUUACCAAUACCACCCAUACCCCAAACUCCUAUCUUUGACACCUUAUCACCCAUGAGAUCCUCCCAAAUUUCCUCCACAAUCUUCCCUGUCCUUUCCCCCACUAAAUUGCUUGUUGUUGACAACGUCAUUCCGCUGGUUGAAGGGGCAUCACUCACAUAACUAGUAAAAGCACAACCCUUUUGAAUAUACUCUUUCACUUCUUCAAUCUUCUUCUCAACAUCUUUUCCCAGACACGCACGUGAGAAGCAGUUUCCUUUCUCCACCUCCUGUUUAAAACUCUCUGCUUUCGUAUUGAUCCUUUGUACGUUUUUCAGCCAAUCACUGACUUCAUUACUUGGUUUUUUUCCUUGCUCACGCUCCGCCCUCGACAGUGUCGCUUCUAUAUCUUUUUUCUUGUUUUCUAACUCCCGUAAUACUCUGUCAAGUUCUUCCAUAUUUUCAUCGAGCUUUCUGUAAUAAUCAAAAUAUUCGCAUAUGGGAGAACAUACACACUUGAAUAGAUCACUGAUUGGUCCGAUAAGAUCCAUUGGCUGGUCCUAGAAGAGAAUUAAUCAGUAUAGCAUUAGCAUAAGGUUUCUGCCAAAUGCAAUAUUUGUUCAAAAUUGCAUCAAAUUUUUACAUUAAAUAUUAUAACUACUAAUAAUAAAGAUAAAUAAUUUCAUCUGACUUAUUUAUUAACUUGAAAAAAGUUUUACUUAUGUGGAACAAAUAUGCUUACAUAAGAUUUACAAAAUAUGCUGAGCCAAAUCCUUGAAAGACAUGAUCUGAACACAUAUUUUGAGUUACGGAUCCCCAGGCAAUCCAAUAAGAAUUUGGUAAUAAUUAAUAAUAUGUUUCUCAGUUUGACAUGACCAAAGAACUAACAGCAUAUCAGAUAAAAUAAAUCAAUGGUGCAAUAUAAUCUAAAAGAAAAUAUAGCUUACCUGAAUAAACCGGCUUGCUGUAGCUUCUUCAAAUGUUUGUGAUUUUUGUUAUAAUCCAAAACAAUAUACUUAUAACUAAAUUGUAAAUAAAAAAGAAUGUAAGGGAUUCAAUCAAAAAAAGAUAAAAGAGCGGUACGGGGGUAUUGUAGCUGCGUCCCUGUUAACUUUCUACUUAAAUUAUGUUAGUUAAUUUUUUUUUCAUAAUUUAUAAUUUUUUAUUAAAUUAAUUUAAUCAUUGAGGGUAUAUAAAUCAUUUGGCUUAAUUAUUAUUUUUAAAAUUUUUAGAUUUUAUAAUCUACAUCAAGACUAGAAGUAAAAUAAAAAAUUAACAUGUUAUAACUAUAGAAGCAUUUAAACUUAAUUUCAAAUAUAAGAGAGAUUUCGCUUAAUUUUUUCUAAACAAUAAGAGCAGUCAUUUUUCAUUUUUUUUUCCUUUUUAACGAGUGUCUUUAAGAUAAGCGAUGAAAGUUUGAAAAAAAAAAAUCAGUCAACGAACAGCUACUUGUCUUCAAUAAUUCAUAAGAUGAAAGGGAUGGUUAUUGUCUUAGCUGGCCUGGCCACCACGCGUUGUUUUUAGUCAAAAAGUCUUUCGCAAGAUGACUUUUUCUCUAAUUGGCUAAUGCAAUUAAAUUUCCAAAUAAAUGCAAUGACGAUAUUUUCAUUUCAGGUGCGACGUCGGUUCGAUACAUCCGAUUUGAUCGUAAGGGAAAAAUACAAAUUUAGAGGUUAUGAUUUUUUAACACGUUAGAGGUUAUGAUUUAGAGGUUCGAUACAUCCGAUUUAAUACAUUAGAGGUUAUGAUUUUUUUAUCUAUUAAUAUAGUGAAAUCUGCCUUUUUCUCUAUUAGUUACAUCCUUAUUUUGUUCCUCACUUUAUCACUAAAAAAUAAAAAAUACAAAUUUAAACACAAUAAUAAAAAAAAUAGUUUCUAAUGUAUUGAAAUCUAUAUAUUUUUAUAUACCUUAAAGAAAAAGCACGCGCGCGCACACACACACACACAUUUAUAUAUAUAUAACAACAAACACAUACAAAAAUUAGGAUCCCUUAUCUUACAAUAAAUGUAAGAUACACUUCUCACAUGAAUAAUGUAGGGACUCCACAUAUACAUUAUUCAUAUGAGGAGAAUGUAUCGUAUAUUAAUUGUAAGAUAGGAAUUGCCCAAAAAUUAAUGCUAUGUUAUACGCUAUACAUGGCCCCAGUUUCAAAUUAAAACAUUGACAUUAGUUGCGUUUUCACAUUUGAUAAGGACAUGCAAUAAAUAACUUGUCUUCAAUAAUUAAGAAGAUGAAAGGGAAUCCAAACGCACAAUGAAUGACAUGUAUCACUCUUAGGCCAUGUUUGGUUUGAAGAGAGGGGAGAAGAGGAAAAAAAUGAAAUGGAGAGGAAGGGAGAAGAAAGGAGUGGAGGAGAGUAGUGAAAUUAAAUUUCAUUGUUUGGUUUGAUAUAAAAUAUGAUAAGGAAAUAAAUUACAAUUUUUUUUAGAUAAAUUGAUCAUUUAUCUUAAAUAUUAAACUAUUUAUAUUACUAAUGAAAUGUAAUUUUUUAUAUAUAAUGGUUGUUCGGCGGAGUUCCGGCAACUUUCCGACAACAUCCGGCAACUUUCAAAUUCUACAUUAUGAUAGAUAUUAAAUUCUUAUAUAUUUUGUCUAAUCAAACAAUGAAAAUAAAAAUAAAAUUUAAAUUAUUUUCCUCUUCUCCAUUCUAUACUCCCAACCAAACACCACAUUGGGCCUUAACUGGCCUCCUACAUCACCAGUAAGGCUAAUAGUCUUCUUCGAAUGACGACUUUUCUCUAACUGACACCUACAGUUAAAUUUCCAAGUGGCCACUUGUCCACUACUCACGAUGUCAUAUUUUAAGCUGAAGCUUCUUCGAUUGCAAAAUUGCGGACAACACAACCGAAGAUGAAAUGAUACCUCGAUAUGUGUUUAGACUUUAAAUUUUUCCGGACGGGGCUUCACCGAUGUUAUUCCUUGAAAUUGCAAUCAGACUACGCUCACAGUUACACCCUUGCAAAUAGAAAAUUAAGUGGGGAAAAUUUUUGUGGGUCCCAAAGAAAUUAGAAAGGGAAAACUGAAAUUUAUUCGUGUUUAAUUACUAAUUUUUCACUACUAAAUUGCAGAUCCUCAGUCUCAUUAGUUUUUCACAAUCGUCAAGCAAGCUCUCAUCAGGUGCAAUAAACUCUUCAUUAACACUUUUUUUAUGGGCUCAAGUUCAUACCUAGACAAAUACAUCUGGAAGUUUAUAUUUGUAAGUAAAAUGGCAUCAAUAUGCUAUGGAAAAAAAAAUUAGAAGAAUUAAUAUGGUCAUUAAUACAAAUGACAAUAUGACAUUAAUAUUCUCUGGAAAGAUUUAUAUGGUCAUUAAUCCCAACUCUCUCUACACGUGACAUUAACAUUUCAUUUUGACAUUUUCUUUCUACACAUACAAAUCCCAACUCUCUUUUCCUGUUAGAUUCCAAUAAAAUAGAUAAUCAAUUGUUGAUAGUAUCCAUCUCAAGCUUAACUAAACUUCAAGGACCAAUUCUGUCAUAGAACAAUCAUUAAAAAAAUAAAUCUAAUUGGGUUAAAAUAAUUAUAAAUAAAUUAUUUUAAAGAAUAAAAAAGAAUUAAAUUUAUUUAUAUGAAGUACAAUUUAAAAUUUUUUUAUUUUUUAUUGUGUAGUUAUUAAUUUAAUUGUAGAUUAAAUUCAUUUUUAUAUUUGAAUUAUAUUUUAUAACAAAUAUUGAAAGUUCAACACCAAAGGGAGAAAUAUACCUAUAUGUAUGUUAAAAAAAAAUAUAGUUAGUUAUUUAUUGAGGUCGAAAAGUAUAAAUUAUUCUAUCAUGAUUUCAUUUCUAUACAAAAUUAAAAUUUUCCUCUUACUUUUCUAUUCAUUUUCAAAAUAUUUUUUAGUGAUAUAAAACACACUCCUUCAUCGAGGGGCGAGCACCUCUUCAUCUUAUUUUUUAAGUCGAGAUUUUAAGUUUUCUCGUGUGCAUUGUGGAUGUUAAUUUAGAUAUUCAUAAUAAGAUAUAAAUUAUAUAUUUUUAAGAUUGGGGAUUCAAGUCUUCUCUUGUGGUAUCAUCAUACAUAAUCAGAAAUAAAUUGGACAAUAGCACAAAAAUGCAAAAAGUAUUUCUUUUGUUGGGAGGAUAAUAAAGACUUCUAUUGGGCUUUGGACUAAUAAGAAACGACCUUAUCAUGCUAUGUCCAGCCAGAAAGGCCCAUUUUUUAUUGUGACAUUAUACGCUGGGUCGAGACGUACUUGCAAGAAUACACCUAGAGUGAUCUGAAGUUACAAAAUCUCCUCAAUCGGACAAUGAGAAACACUUUAAAAAAUUAACACUCACAGUCGCACACGCCUUCCUUGAGAAUGGGAAUGCCAAAAGCGUACUUUUCGUUAUAGAGCACUUCCUUAAAUUAAAAAAAAAAAGUUUCAAGAUAAACACUCACAGUCGCUGACGGCAGUGCCGUCACCCUUUAAUCAAAUAAUCAAAGCAUGUAAACAGAAGCAAGUUCUACCGUUUAAAAGUAAUUAGUUGCUGUUUAAUUUCCGCUGCUUGGAAACAGAAUUGUAUUUGACUUUUGACUUGGCUAAUUGGCUUUUACUCUCUAUCCUGGAUGCUAUGGAAAUGGUGACACGGCUGGUAAUGUUGUAUUGGAUUUCACUAUUUAACUUACAAUAGAAGGACCGUUACAAUUACCAUUUGCAAAUGCAAAUUUUGAUUUCUAUGUAAAAUGUAACCAAUUUUUAUGAAUAGGUACACAAAAAUUUUGUAAUUUUUUUCAUUGUGUCUCUAAUACGAGAAAAAAAAAGGAAAAUAAAAAUGAAAAUACAAUAUGUUUUAAACCGAAUAUGGUAAGUUAACACUUACAGUGACAACUACAAGGAAGACAAAUUCAAAAUUGAAGAAAUCAAUAUAAAAGAUCUUUUUCUUAAUUGAAUAUGAAAGAGAGCUUAAACAGUCAUAAACAAUACAAAUCAGUUUUGUGAAGGUAACUUUUGUAAAUUUAUCAAGCUUUUAAGGAAUGAAUUACACACAUGGGAAAUUUUUUUUGAAAGGUCGAGAUAAAAGCAUUGCAUUAGUAAAAGUACGAUACUACUAGCCGCAUCUUAAAAGAUAACUAAAGGCCAUGUAUAGAAUAUAGGUUUACACACUCCUCCCAAUUCCUAAGGCUCUUUGGGAAGAUUUGUCUCCGAAUUUCAUCUUGGGAAUUCCACAAAUUCAACAAGGAACAAAUUCUAUCUUCGUGAUUGUUGAUUGAUUUCUAAAAUGGUAUAUUUCAUUCCAUGCAAGAAGACUUUAGACGCAAGAAAUAUUGCCCAACUAUUAUUUUGAGAGGUUGUUCAAUUAGAUGGGUUAUCUAAGACUAUUGUCUAAAUUCCUAAGCUACUUUUGUAGGACCUUAUAGAGGAGACUAGAUACUUCCUUAUAGUAUAGUAGUAUUUGUUACCUACAGAUAGAUGGGCAAACUGAAGUUAUUAAUCACACAUUAAAUAAUAUUUUACGAACCUUGAUUCAAGAAAAUCUCUGCCAAUGGGACUAAGUUUUACCUCGAGCCCAGUUCACAUAUAAUAAUGUGCCCAAUCAAUCAAAUGGGAAGCUACCUUUUGAGAUUGUCUACAUUAGACCUCCUUUACAUACCUUAGAUUUUGUUCCUUUGCCUAAACUACCUGGAAUAAGCAUCAUUGCUAAUCAUAUGGUAGACAAAGUAAUCAAUGUUCAUGAGGAAGUCAAGAAUAAAUUAGAAGAAUCCACAACUAAGUACAAGGCAGAUGCAGAUAAGCAUAGGCGCUUCAAAUCCUUUGCUGUAGUAGAUCAAGUAAUGAUUAAUCUACAAAAGGACAAAUUUUCUUUUGGGGAAUACAACAAGCUCAAGCGAAAGAAGAUUGGACCAUUUCUCAUCCUUCAGAAAAUCAAUGACAAUGCUUGAGUCGUGGACCUACGGGUGAACUACAAUAUUUCCAAAACUUUCAACAUUCAAGACUUGUUCGAGUAUCAUGGUCGUUCACCAUUGCCAUAUGAUUGAAUCAACUCGAGGACGUGUUCUUCUAAGGAGAAGAGACUGAUGUAGGACCACCCUAUUCAUAGUAGGAGUAUAAAUUUAAUUUCUACUUUCCCCUAAUUUGAUUAGGAUUUAUUUUCUUAUUUAAGUAAUAUUUCUUUUCUUAUAAGGAGCCAUAAUUUUAUUAGGAAUAAGAUAGUCCAAUUUAGUAUAAAAUGGCUUGUUAUCCUUGUUUCUUGACAUGAUCUCUUUUCAUUAAUAAUAUUCAGUAUUUCUUAAUUGAAAUAUUUUCUUCUUUGUGAGAACUCUCCUUCUUGAGCUUUCAAGGACGUAUACAAGAAGAAAUCGAGUAUUCCUUCAGCACGGCAUCACUUUGCCACAAUGUAUAAUACAUAAUUUUCAACUUCUACUUUGGUGCUCAAUUGAGAGAUUUAUUCUGGAGCCAACUUUGGGCCUUUGGCAAUCGGCUUUGUUACUUAUCUUGCAAACAUAUGGUAGAACAAGCUGCAAAAUAUUACUAAAUCGUCAUCCAAAUAUAAAUAGAUAUCUUCAGCCUAAGUAGAGAAGAACAAGGUUGUUCAGGUGUUAUUUUUUGUCUUAACAACUUGAGAACAACAAAAUUAGCAAACUAGUCAAAGGACACUAAAAUUGGUUGAUUAUAAGCAAAAUUUAUCAUUCUUCCAUUUAGUUGGGUUUAUGUAGAAUAGUUGAUGAACAGUAGAAUUCGCUGAUAUGUUGAAAACGGCCCCAACAACAGCAUCAUGUUUUUUCUCUCAACCUUUUUAUAUAAUUUCAAAUUAUUCUUUAGAAUAUGAAAACCAAUACUUCAUCAAAUUGCAGAUACAUCCUUGCCUUAAAAAUAAACUAGACAUAUAAUGUAUAUUCAAAAGUACAGUCUUUUUAUAGUGCAGGUGCCCUCAUUUUCUUCAUGCGGAUAUGCUGUUAAGGCAUAUAAUUUAAUAUAGUUAAUUUUUAUACUAUUAAACUAUACAACUUUAUAAUGUGUUGAAAAUAAACUCUAUUAAGUCACAUUGCUUAACAAUGUGUCCGCAAUAAAAAAUUAAGGGCACCUGCACUUGAGAAUAAAUUCACAUUAUUUUGUAAAAUUACAAAUUAAUAAUAAGUUUGAACUAUUAAUUAAUUAAAUAUUUCUUAUAAUUUUUUCCAGUCUUUUAACAAUUUUUAACUAGUUAAGGUUGUUUUAAGAUAAAUUUAAUUUCAUUAUUUUGCCCUUAUAAAAUAACCAAUUACCUUAAGAAUAUAUAUUGUUGAAACUAAUUGUUUAGGCAUUUAGUUUUAUGUUUUAUAUAAAAUUUAAUUAAAAAUAAUACUCCACAUGUCCUAAUUAUAUCUUGUUGUUUUGUAGAAUAUUAAUAACCACACUAGUAAAGUAUUACUAUACAUCAUUAACAUAUAAAAAAAAUUCAUAUAAAAAAUUAUUAGCGUUGAAUUAAAUUUUUAAAUAUUUUGGUACUUUUACCUUAUCGGGUUAAAGUAAUUAUAUUAAUUUAUGUCAAAGUAACCUUAUUGACGGAAUAUAACCAAAAAAAAAAAAACCAUAGUCCCAUUUAAAAAAAUGAAUAUAGAUUUAAUUGACUAACUUUCUAAAUUUCUUCUUAAUUUGAAUUUUAAAAAAUAAUUUACAUUUGUUGUAAUAAUUUUCUGCAAAUAGGGUGGAUUUAUAAAAUUUGUGUGAUGGAAAUAUCACCAUUCAAAUAUAUAUAAAAAAAAGGGUAAUUUUUAAAAACCUCUCCUGAAGUUUGGGCUUGUUGCAAGUAAAUGACGAGAAUUUGUUUAUUUGUAAAAAACCCCCUACCGUCAGUUAACUUUAACAUUGACCGUUAGUUGACUAUGCAAAGACAAUAUUACCCUUAACAACAGUUUAUAGACGGAAAUAACUAAAAAAAAAAUUAAAAUUGUUGGCGCGAAAAGCACAAACCCUAUUUUUUGACAAUUUUAUCAUUGUCAAUUCCAAAGAUUUACAAUAUCAUAGGUAAAGAUUAUAACUAUUUCAUUUUCAAGUUUUUAAUUUUAUCUUUUUUGUAGGAACUUUAAGAAAAUAUCUAUAAUUUAAAGAGGAUUUUUCAAUUUUUUAAUUUUAUCUUUCUUGUAGGAACUUUAAGAAAAUAUCAAUAAUUUAAAGAGGGUAAAAUAGCCAACAAUUUUAAUUUUUUUUUUAGUUAUUUCCGUCUCCAAACUGUUGUUAAGGGUAAUAUUGUCUUUGCACAGUCAACUAACGGUCAAUGUUAAAAUUAACUGACGGUAGGGGGUUUUUUACAAAUAAGUAAAUUCUCGCCAUCUACUUGCAUCAAGCCCAAACCUCAGGGGAGGUUUUUAAAAAUUACCCAAAAAAAAAAUUUAUUUUGUUGGGAGAGUAACAAUGUCCUCCCUUUGGGUUUGGAGGAAUAUUAACAAACCAAGUUAUUGCGUACAUACACAAUGAAAGACCCAUUAUUUAUUGUGUAAUAUAUGUUGCUUCUAAACGUGGUUCCUGUAUACUCAUACAACGCGCUGAAAUUACCAAAGUAUCCUCAUUAAAGACUUACGCCUUUUUUUUUUUUUAGUCAUUACAAUAUCUCUGGGUUAAAAUGUGUCCUUUUCCUAUUGAGUAGUAAGUUCUCAAAGAAAAAUAAAAUUAAAAAAAUAUAAUUACGUCUCAUCCUUCAAACAAAUAAUAAAAUAGAUAGACAAGUUUAUCCUUUUUAAAUUAUCAGUUGCUCUUAUAAUAUUUUCCACCGCUUCAGAACAAAAAUGAUGACGUGGCUUGCAGUGCAGUAACGGUUCUCUCCAUUUAUCUUGAUGGCUCAAAAAGUCUUACUAACAAAGACAAAAACAAUUACCAUUAUCAAAUAAAUUACAUACCUGAAAUGGGAAAAAAAUGCUAAAAUAAUUUAUACAAGUUGAUAAGAUAAUGUCCAGUAUUUUCAUGUUUCUAAUGUUUCUCCUAUUUGCCCUGUUAUAAUUGUUUAUGUUAUCUAAUAAAAAUACAAGAUAAAGAUGAUCAAAUAGGCAACAAUAGUUAUCAGAAGAAAUGUUAUUAAUUAAAAAUGUUAAUUUUUUUGGGAAAAAGAAAAUUAUAUUUCUCUAGAUCUAGUGAUAUUUAGAUUAGAAAAAUCUCUCCCAAAACAUAUGAUGUGGUGAAACCUUUGAUGUGUAUGAAUCAGCAACAACUAUUAGGACAAUAGAAGAAACCCAAUAUAAAAGAGAAAGCUAAACAACCAUGAGCCAUAAACAAGAGAAAUCACUUUUAUAAAAUGUGUGUGGUGGGAAUAUGACCAUUCAAAUAUAAAAGAAUUUAUUUUAUUGGGAGAUUAACAAUGUCCUCCCUUUGGGUUUGGAGGAAUAUUAACAAGGGUGGUGUUAUUUCCACCCCAUAAAUUUAAUUAACCCACCCCAACUUUAAAAAAUUAUUUCAACAAAUGCACAUUAUUUUUUAAAUUUCAAAUUAAGAAGAAAUUUAGAAAUUUAACCAAUUAAAUCCAUAUUCAUUAAUUAUUAUUUUUAUGAGACUAUGUUUUUUUUAUUAUAUUUGAUCAAUAAGGUUGUUUUAAUAUAAAUUAAUAUAAUUAUUCUAACCUUAUAAGAUAAAAGUACCAAAAAAUCUAAAAAUUUACUCUAACUUUAAUAAAUUUUUAGACAAAAUUUUUUAUAUUUUAAUGAUGUAGAAGUAGUGCUUUUUUAGUAUGAUUAUUAAUAUUCCACUAAACUAACGAGACGUAAUUAGGACAUCUGGAGUAUUGAAAAUUAUUAAAUUUGAUAUAAAGCAUAUUAGAUUAUAAAACAUAAAACUAAAUGUCUAAACAAUUAGUUACAAUAAUAUAUAUUUCUUAGGGUAAUUUGAUUAUUUUAUAUUAUAAGGGUAAACUAGUUAAAUUAAAUUUAUCUUAAAGCAACCUUAAAUUGUUAAAUAUUGUUGAAAGACAAAGUAAGAAAAAAAAGUAUUAAAAGAAUGAUUUAAUUAAUUAAUCAUUCAAACUUAUUAUUAAUUUAUAAUUCUAUAAAAUAAUGUAAAUUUAUUGUAAUUAUUUUAUAAAGGUGGGAUGGGUUUAUAAAAAUAGUAGGGUGAUUAACAAACAAGUUAUUACGUAUAUACACAAUAAAGGACCCAUUAUUUAUUGUGUAAUAUAUGUUGCUUCUAAACGUGGUUACUGCAUACUCAUACAACGAGCUGAAAUUACCGAAGUAUCCUCAUUAAAGACUUUACCUCAUGGUUUUUUUUUAAGUCAUUACAAUACCUAUGAUUAAAAUGUGUCCUUUUCCCAUUGAGUAGUCAGUUCUCAAAGAAAAAUAAAAUUAAAAAAUAUAUAAAAUUACGUCUCACCCUUCAAACAAAUAAUAAAUAGAUGAACAAGUUUAUCCUUUUUAAAUUAUCAGGUGCCCUUAUAAUAUUUUCCACCGCUAGAGAACAAAAAUGAUGACGUGGCUUGUAGUGCGGUAACGGUUCUCUCCAUUUUAACUUGAUGACUUAAAAAGUCGUACUAACAAAGACAUAAACAAUUACCAUUAUCAAAUAAAUUACACACCUGAAAUGGGAAAAAAAAUGCUAAAAUAAUUUAUACAAAUUGAUAAAAUAAUGUCCAAUAUUUUCAUGUUUCUAAUGUUUCUCCUAUUUGCUUUGUUAUAAUUGUCUAUAAGAAGAAAUGUUAUUAAUUAAAAAUGUUAAAUUUUUCCGGAAAAACAAAAUUAUAUUUCUCUAGAUUCUAGUGAUAUUUAGAAUAGAAAAAUCUCUAACAAAACAUAUGAUGCGGUGAAACCUUUGAUGUGUAUGAAUCAGCAACAAUUAUUAGGACAAUAGAAGAAAUCCAAUAUAAAAGAGAAAGCUAAACAGCCAUGAGCCAUAAACAAGAGCAAUCACUUUUAUCUAAAGAUAAUAUUUGGAGAUUUCUGAGGCUUUUAGCAAAUAAAUUAAUUACACAUGAAAAGAAAUUGAUAAUCUGCAUAAAAAUCAACUUCAAUAAGUCACGUUGACACAAUUGAUAAAAUUGAUAACAUACAUCUGCUUUGGUUCUCAAUGGAAGGAUUUAUUCUUGAACAAGCUUUGGCAGUUGGAAUGGCCACUUAUAUAAUCCUGCAAAACAGAACGAGCUGCAAAACAUUACUGGACCAAAACCAUGCAGCAAAAACAAUCAAAUUGACAUGGAAAUUUAGUAGAGAAGGAGAUAUGGGCGUUGAAAAUAACCAGAGAUGAGUUGCUGCAUUAUAUAUUGGGUACCAUAUAUUCUAGCUCUGCUCGAACUUACAGUAAGGAUUUAGGACCAAAGCAGAUGAUUCCCACAAUUCUUUCAUUAUCUUAAUAACUUCAAGGGCAGGGGGUGGAGAUGGUUGUCCAUUAUCAAGCAGAGGAAGCCUAAGAGAGAGCCGCUUCAAUUUGGGGCAGGAGGGGGUUAUCUGAAUUUCUUGGAGAGAAAUACAAAUCAAUACUGCAUUAUCACUGCAAACGCUGUUAAGUUCUGGCAAGAAACUAAGCCACAACUUCUUCAAUCUUGGAAGUGUAAUAGUGAUUGCACUUGUUCCUAAUUCUUUCUGAGUUUCUUCAUCAUUGACUUCUACUAUCUCCUCAAUUCUCUUACAGCUUCGGACUACGAGAAAUUCCAAGUUUUGGAGGGCAGGCAAUAGCUGAAGUGAGAACAACUUCUGUAAAUUAGGACAAUAGGAAAACCAAAGAGCUUUAAGAUGUGAAAACCAGGCAGCGUUAACUAGUCUUUGUUCCUUUGACAAAACAUCAUUUAAGCUUGUAACAUCUUCGAUAUCGCGCAUAAUUAGUCCUUUGAACAUCUUUUGGGAGCAAAAUGGUAACACCUUCUCUUCCACAGAUUUUGCACCCAUAGAAGCACACUGAUUUAUUUGCUUUGCUUGUGCGAAUGAAGCUAUAAAAUCUAGUAUUCGCGACAGAACCAUUGUAAACUGUCGACACCUGAAAAUGAAAAUUUUUUUACCUUUGACCAUCUGAAGAUUUAACAUAUGUGUUGAAAUCAUCGAGUUUAGAAAAAUAGCCAACGAAAGUAUCCAAUCUAUCACUCGAUCUGGCUGCCUAUUGCACUGUUUCUCGUGAAGUUUCCGAUCCCCAAUUUAAUUUUAAACUAUAGAGAUUGUAGUGUCCAAAAAUUAAGUAAAUAAUUAUUAGUAUUAAUUUGAUUGCUGGUUUGAAAAAGUCAUAAAUUUAGGGAAAACUUUGCCCCCUUUUUUUUUGUAAAUUCAUAUUAAUAAGUUUAUUACUAGUCAAGUUAGAUGAUAAAUAGACAUGUUCACCUUUACAAUUCGGAGCGGGUCAUUUCAUCUAAUUCAUUUAUCUUUAUCCAGGAUUGUAGUGUCUAAAAAUUAAGUAAAUAAUUAUUAGUAUUAAUUUGAUUGCUUAUUAUGGUUAUUGAUUUAUUUUCAUAUUUCAUUGUUAAAUUUUUUUAUUAUGUCAUUCACUAUAAGAAAAAUGAUAAUAGAGAUGACUGACACUUUAUGAUAGAAAUCGCUAUAUCAUAAGAGUAUGAUAGGGUUGUGAUAAAAUUAUUAUUUAUCAAAUGAUUAAUGAUGUACUUGUGAUAUAAUUUAUGUUUAUCGAGAAUUUAUGAUAGUAUAGUGAUAAAAAUAUACUCUAUCAAAAACUUUGUGAUAGAAUUUUAACAUUGACCGAGUUUGACCAAAUUUUAAAUUAAUUUUUUAUUAAAAGAAAAAUAAAAUCAAAACGGGGCGUUUAGACUAAGACAUAAAAUUUUCUCAUGUCACCGAACUCACUUAGGCUCCGUUUGGUACAGCUUAUUAAACAGAGUUUAUAACAAUAGAGCUUAUAGCAGUAGAGCUUAUACCAAUAGAGCUUUUGGACAAAAAGUCAUUGGGUGUUUGGUUGUCAAUAAAAAAAAUACUUUUGAACCAUUAAACUGUGUGAUAUUUUUUAUAUUAUAUAUUUUUAGAAAAGUUAUAUAACCUCUAUUUCCAAAAGUUCAAAUUUUAGGCUUUUCCUAAUAGAGGUAAAUUAACUUAUUUAAGUUAAAAAAACUCUACUAAAAAAAUAACUAAACACCAUAAAAAUUUUUAAAAAAUAUUUAUACGAUUAAAUAAGCACUUAUAACUCUUAAAUAAGCCAUACCAAACAGUCUCUUAGUCACUUAUUGCUCACCACAGAACGCAUACCACUAAUCAGCUAACACUGUGAAACAACACGCUUGCCAAACCCUAGAAAUCAAUCCCGCAUCUUUGUCGCUGUUCAGAUAGUGUUCUUGCUGUCGCUAGAACACUGACGACAACUACGACGACGAUGCACGCGCAAAACUAGGCCACAAGUCUCACCAAGUUACGCUUCCAUGUCACCACAACUCCACAUCACUGUCGCUCAAAGCCAGGCCAAGCCGCCGCUGCUAGGAGGUAAAUUUCCCGUUCAUAGGACUUCCAUUGCUUUUUCAUAAUAGAAGAUCGAGUAAAUUCGUUUUCGUAUAUGUUGAUUUUUUUUUUUAGAUUCUCAGAGAAAUACGUGAGAUUGUAAAUAGAUUUUAAAUUGAUUAAGUUGUUAGGUCUUCUAAAUUUUGUCAAUUUUUUUCCUUUUUCUGAUUUUUGGGCUGGAUUCAUGGUUGUUUCUCAAAUUAUCUCUACUGACAUGCUAAAGCUUAAGCUAUUAAAUGUUCAUGUACAUUCAAGUGCUUAUGUCUAUGCCGAAUGCAUCGUGAACGUAUGAACUUUGCAUUUUGAUGAUAUUAUUCAGCAGUUUGUUUCUUUUUUGGGGCUAAUAUUGGUAUUUUCUGGACUGAAAAAAAUUAGACGGAAUAAUAGUUUCUAACGAAGCCCACUAGGUGUUUGAUGGAAUGCAUUAAAGAAAAAGAAUUGCCUUAGUUUUUAUUUUGUGGCAUAUUCUGUUGAAUCUUUCAUUUUAAUUUUUAAUUUUUGUAGGUUGGAACCUACAUCUUUGAUAAAGUGACUACAUGAAAAGGUUUUUCAUUAACACUUUCAUUAGUGGAUUGUAAUUGUCAUGUUAUCUAUGCAACAUGUCCAAAGAUUAACUUUGUUAUUUGGCCCCAAAACUGCAAGGAAUUAGAAUACGGCAACCAACAUUUGUAAGGUAAUGUGAUGUCUCUGUUUAUACCUGGAGCUCAUAUUAUAAGUAAGCUCGUUGAUUUGUUUUAUCUCUUAUUAUUCUUGUACUCUAUAUUCGAUAUAUAUAGUUAUUGCAGGAACUUAUUAACUUGGAUUUGGCUUUGGAUUUUUAUAUGGAAUAAAUUUUUAUUUUUUACUCUUUGGCUUUCUGUUUUUAGUGGCUCUAUGAUUCUGUUAGUUUCUUCAAUGUGGGACAGUGUUUGUUUAAGAAAUGAGGUGUUGAAUGGUGAUGCUACUCUAUUGAUAAUCAAUGUGCAUGCAAUCCUAAUUCCCAACUUUUUGUCCUCUUUAUUUCUCUUCUUUACACACCUGUCUCCUUCUUUUAUACAUAUGUUUAACACUCUUUUCUAUUCAAUGAUACCCAAAAAUAAUUGAUAUUAUCUAAGUAUUUGAAAUUUUAUCUCAAGAAUUGUAAUUAUACUAGAAAUUAAAAAUUGAGUAGCUUUUUUAAGCAAAGUUGUUGAUAGUGUUUGUUUUAGCCAAAAGAAUAAUCAGUGCUUUGGAAGAAAGAGGAAAAACAUUGUUUCUGUGGUUGAUAUUUUCUAGAGUAUAUUUACAAAAACUUGCUAAUAGUAACGACUUUCGCUGGAGUUGUUUUUGGGUUCUUUGCAGGAGUAUUACAAAGGUAUUCACUGAAAAAGCAUAUAAUAGACAAUUAAGUUGUUGUAAAGAGGUAUUCACUGAAUAAGAUACGAGACCCAGCAUUCUGUCUUGUUCCUGCAUCUCAGUUUUCAGACAAUUGUAAACUAUUUUCUGUAACUCCCUGGUCUUCAUUGUGCCUUUGGGUAACUCUUUUCUAAUUUGUGGCAUUAAAUAUUCUGGGUUCACUUAAUCAUUUAAAUUUAGUAGUUUAUGAGUUAUGUUAGGUGACAUAGAAAACAAGUGUGGUUUCUUAAGCUAUUUGGAAUAUUUUAAUUGUUACUACUUCACUGUUAUUGUAAAGAUGUUUACCUUACUUCUUCAUUGGGUGCAUCAUAUUCAUGACCCCUUAUUCUCUUUUGAAACUGCAAAAUGAUUCAAGCUGCCAAAGUUUUUUAAGUAUUUUGAGAAUGAACUUGGAGCAACUGUGAUCUUUGGAUUAUUUGCAAUAUAUUGGGUCAUUCUACGAUUAAUAUUCUUCCCCUUUUGGGUCAUCAAAUGUACAAGGUUUGCCUGCAUGAUAAAUGAUUUGAUGCCACCUUAUUUGGUCAUCUAGCAGUUUAUUUGGCUUAUUUGCUUUUUUGAUUUGCAUUUUCCUACUACGAUCUUUAGUUCUACUUGAACUUAUCAGAGAUACUUUCAUUUACUACUUGUUCAAUACAAUGUUGCCGAUGCUCUUUGUGGUCCAGAUAUGCUGGUGGGUUCUCAUAUCCUCAAUGAUCUGGAGACAGCUGAAAAGUGGUCAACUUAGGGAAGAUAUAAGAUCUGGUAAGCAUUUUGAUGCUUCCAUUAUCAGUUUGAUUCAUUUAGUGUCGUCAAUUAUUCCCAGUAGUCUUUCUCCCUCUGUGGAAAUAAGCAUUGUUUUUGCUUUGAUAGUUUGCAGGAAACUUGAUCCCAUAUAAUAGUUUUGCUAGAACUUAAUUAGUUAUAUUCACAUGUGCCUAAGCCUCAGCCAUAUUUAAGUUCUUGUUUCAAAACCUAGAUAAAAUGAACUUAUAAUUGGAUAUUAAUUGUAAAUGAAACAAAAGGGUAAAGGAAUUAAUUAGUUAUAUUCACAUAUGCCUAAGUUUUGAAGGAAAGUUAGCUGCCUUUAUGGGUACCCUUUUGGUUCCACAUUUUAUUGCCGCAAAGAAUUAGUUUAAGUUACAUGAGAAACUUGAAAGUUUUACUUUAAUAGAUAAUUCUUUAUAAUGAUACUAUUGGCUAUAGUCAAUUGGUGUUGCACUUGCAGGUUGAGAGAAACUGCUGGACUUAGGAGUUUUGCUGGGUAUUUGUUGAGAAUAGGAAUUUAUCUAGUGGAAUUUCACUGAAAAUAUGGGAGAAGUCUUGCACUACAAGAUUUGACGGCUUCAUAGCUUGUAAAAUUUAAAGCAUUUGCUCGAGUUAAAUUUUUUUUAUUACUUUGGAUGGGUUAAUUGUUGGAUACAAGUGUUUUUGGAUGGUGUUAUUAAUAUAAAGUGUUUUUAGACUUGUUAGAAUGUAUAAUUUAACUUUUGGUUUAUAUUGAAUUUGUGAUUAAAUUCAUAUGUAGGAAUGCAUAAAUUUAAAUAAAAUAAUUUAGAAUUUCUUUAAAUAUAAAUUUAGAUCCUGGGACAAAAAAAACCAGUCAUAAAUUAUGUCGCAAAUACAAUAAUUAAUGAUAAAAAAUUUCAAUUAUUAAUUCGAUCACAAACAAAAUAGUUUACCCUCUAAAAUUAAUUGAAUAAUAAUAUACGUGUAAAAGAUAAUUUUCCCGCCAAAAUUUAAGAUAAAAUUUAAUUUUCGAGCCAAAAACUAAUUAAAAUAUUCAAUUUUUAAGAUGACUGACAUAUGACUUCGAAACAUUAUCGUAUGUUAAUGUAAUGACACAUUUUUUCUAUUAUAAAAGAGUGAUAGAUAUAUAGAUAGAUAAAUUCACUGUCAUUUACCCCCUUUAUGAUUUUUUUUCAGUCAUUUAUUGUCAAUUUUCGUGUUGUGAUUAUUAUUGUUAUUGUUAUUUAUUAUUACUACAAACAUUUAGUAUUAGUAUUAAUACUAUAUUGGCGCUUGUACUUAUUUAUAGUUGGGCCUAAUUUUUGCAAAGCCCAUUUUAGACAUUUUCAUCUAACCCAUUAACUAAUAGCAGGCAUAAAGUAGAGAUUGACGAUAAAAUAAGAGUUAACUUUUUCUUCUAUCUUUGGUCGGCCAUGAAUGUUCAAGUUAGAGUAUAAACUUAGAGUUAUUAUGUUUUAUCUAUGUGAUUAAGGAUUGGAAAGUUUUGAUUCUUGAGCUUAUUUUAUGAGUUUUGGUCGGCCAAGAUGCUAAUUCAUUGUAUUUGAAUUUUUGUGAAUUAAUGAGUAAAGGCAUAUCUAAAAUUGGGCUCCUAAUUCCUUGUAUUUUAAUUUUUUGUGAAUUAACGAGUAAAAGUUCUCAAUUUUAGAUUCCAGAUUUCAGGACAUAAUAGUCUUGGGAAAAAAAAGUUAUUUGGAAUAAUUUUGAUUGAAUUUGGCUUUGAAACUUUUAUGGCCUAUAUAUUAAUACGUUUAUUUAAGCCCUACAAAUUUCAUGAUUUUUGUAUUAGUAAUUUAUUUUAUAAUAAUCGAAGAUUGAGGGCUGGUGAUUUAUAUGUUUGCACUCCACAUAAAACCUUUCCAUUUAUGAAGUAUAGGAAAUAGUUUGAUGAGUAUAAUAGAUUAUUAUUACCUUUUUAUAUGAAUAUAAUAUUCACGGGUAAUAUUCAUAAUAAACUGCUCUUAAAAGAGCCCACGGGUCGUAAUGCAAACAUAAACGUGAUCAUCAACAAUUUUGCAAAUCAAAUCAAUUCUAGUUCAAGAUUGUCACUCCAUGCCUUGUGCAUUUGGAUAGAAUUGCCCUUUGGCAACAACGACAGUCCUUAUAGAAAACACACACUGUUAGGUAAAUAAGAGCACCAGCUCGGCCAUGCCAUCAUCCCCACGCCGGGGUGGACCACCUCAGCCGAGUGGUGCGAGCAGAACACUGAUAAUGAGCCUUCUACAAAUAUGGGCCGACCAGAGACGAGUACCGGCCAGAGGAAUAUAUCGACCAAAAACAUAUACCGAGUCGAUACCCAUCCCCCAAAGAGCGGGAACACGAUCUCACAAAAUCACGAUAGUUGCGCUUUUCCCAGAACUGUUGAAGGAGACGCGAAAUCCUACGUUUGCCCACAAUGUAGCAGUUAGAACCCCAUGAGGGGCUGCCACUACUCGAAAAAGGGGGGAUGAAGGGUGAAUGAAAAUGUGGGACAACAGCUAUAAAAGAGGAAGAAAUCAAUGAAGAAGAAGGGGGAAAAAUUUGAGAGAAGAGAAAACUCUGCCAAAUUGAAACCAGAUCAUUUUCAAUACAAAAUUGUGAGCUCAUUAUAAGCAAUUUAUCGAAUCUUAAUUGCACGGUUUUUCCGUAAACACCUUGUGCUAACUUAGGCAUUGGAGGGUUUAUGCCAGCAAAUCCACCGGCGUCUCUGAUCCAUUUUUGUGAACGCAGACUUAGUGGGAGAAGGAAGGAUAAUUCCAACUUCAGUGACUAGAGCUAUCGUCGAAGUAAGAAGAAAUUGACAUCCUCACUGUUGAUAACAUAAACGUUGGUGUAAAGGUCUGGUCGGGCAAAGGACGAGCAGAUUUUAGCAUUAACAUAUUGGCGCCGUCUGUGGGGACUUGAAUAAAAAGCUACCGGCAAAUUAGUAAUUACCAGAGAAGCAGCGAACGGUUAGGUAUGGAUGUGGCAAGGAAGGAUGCUUUGAGGGAGGACAAUGAAACUGUGGAGACAAUCACUCUCCGGGAAAUUGUGAAUGAAGCUCGAGAGAGGAUGAUGAAAGAUCGACUGGAGCGGAUGGAGAAACAAAUGGAGACGCUCGCAGCCAUACUGUAUGAGCUGAGGGAUGAGCGGAGAAGGGAUUGUGAAACCCCCGUGGGGAGAGAUGAAGUUGGAGCAGAACCCAGCCUCUAGAGGCGUAGAGUCGAGGAAAUCCCUCCGCCGGCAGACUAACCUAAUGAGGUGCAUCCCCAUAGAAGUACUGGUCGGGUUCCAAGAGAACGUGUGGAUGAAGGGAGGGACCAACCUCACCCCGGACGGGUACUGGAAAUUGAUGGCUGAAGGGCCAGUGUUGAUGAAGGAGAACUUAGACAGCGGUUGCAGAAUGCCGAACAGGAGCGAGAUCAGAUAGCUGCGCGUGAUCCUGAUCGUGCUGUAGAAUUGGAGGGAGAGGUGCGCAGAUUGGCGCAGGUGAUGGAGGAUAUUCAGGGCAAGAGAAAGCCCCCGAGUUGGAGGAUAAUGCUAGAUGAAGAGUCUCCCUUAUUAACCGAGAUCAUGGGUAUUGUAAUCCCAAGUGAUUUCCGCUUCCCUGACCUCAAAUACUCCGGGCGAAGUGAUCCGCUGGUGCAUAUUGAACGUUUCAACGACAUGACGGGUGUUCAGGGGUUGACACCAGCUCAGAGGUGCAGGGUGUUCCCAUUGACACUAGAGGGACGAUCCCGAGAAUGAUACAACAAGCUGUCACAGGGAAGUAUUAAAGGGUACGAGCAGAUGUACCAAGAGUUGGCUGAACAGUUUCGAGGAGCAGUGACCCCAGAGGAUGAUAUGAUGGAACUAAUGGGGAUGAAGCAGGAGAAACAAGAAUCCCUUCGGGAUUUUGUAAAACGAUACCACCAGGCCGUGCUUGAUUUGGGAGCUUUCAAUCAUCUGCAGGCGUUGAGAGGAUUAAAAGAGGGUAUGAGGAUAGGCCGGCUAUGGUAUAACCUAAGAAGUCCCCUGGUGCAGAAUUAUUCAGCAGGGUAUGAGCAGGCGAGGAGAGACAUUGAAAUCGAAGAGAAAAAAUCGGCAAGGAUAAAGAGUGAACAGCUGGAGGAGCUGAGACGAAAGGAAAGGAGAACCCCAAGUGGGAGCAGGUCGGGAAAGCGAGCUGGGGAAUCCUCACUGAUGGGUGCAAUAUCAGCUCGGUCUCGCCCUUACCCCAUGGCUCAGAGACUGCAACAGGUCCAACACAAUCGAGCUCAGCUUCCGCGCCCCCUAUUCCCGGAGCGGCAACGAGAAUUCCGGCAGUUGGCUAACCAUCCUUAUCACAACGCUCCCAGAGCACUAUAUACAGCCAACUCCAGAACUGGGCGACCAGGUCAGCUACCUUCAAUAUCAGCUCAGGACGAUAUUCAUGAUAGCCGAGCAGUCCAGCUGAUUGACCAGAGCUUGGCGUACAGACAAUACACCCCGUUAAAAGUCCCUAAGGAGGAGUUGUAUGAAAGAAUCGAGGGACGAGGCCUGCUGUACCCUCCAGCCCCUAUAACAAAACCUGCUCACCAACGGGAUAAGAGCAGAUUCUACAAAUUUCACAACACUCACGGUCACACUAUCAGCCAAUGUUGUGACCUAAAGAUUCAGGUGGAGGAUUUAGUGAGGAAUUGAUACUUGGAUGAGUAUGUAGAUGGAGUGUCCCCCGUCAUUGAAUCACAACACACGCGAGAUGAAGGAGUUGAGAGGGAUCUGAAACGUGAACAGCCAACCAUUCGUGUGAUAGCAGGAGGGCCAACAUUGGCUGGGGAUUCGAACAUGGCACGAAAGAACUAUGGGAGAUACGCCAUGACUGGCAAAGAGGUGCUUCUCAAUUUGCCAGCAGCCAAGAGAGCAAAAGUGCGGCAAGUUUCCAUUAUGUGGACAGAGGAGGACGAAGAGGGCAUUUUAUAUCCUUAUGAGGAUGCACUAGUGAUUAAGGCAUUGGUGGCUAGUACAGAAUUGCGGCGAAUACUUGUGGACACAGGCAGCUCAGUUGACAUUCUGUUUAAGUCGACCCUAUAUGAUAUGGGAAUUUUGGAUUUGAAGCUGGAGCAGACAAAUACCUCAUUGAAGGGAUUUGGAGGGGGAUGGUUAACCCCCAUGGGGAUCAUUGAACUCCCGAUUACUGUGGGGUCAAAGCCGUUUGAAAGAACGAUUAUGCUAGACUUUGUCGUGGUAGAAGAAAGAAGCCCUUACCAGAUGAUACUGGGGAGACCGUUCAUGAGGAUAAGUCAAUGUGUAAUGUCCACGCAUUAUCUGGUGUUGAAGUACAGAGUAAAUGGAGUUGUUGGCGUAGUAAAAGGCGACCAGAGAAUGGUAAGGAGCUACUAUACUACAGCGGCCAAGGAAACGCUGCAGGUUACCUUUCUAGAUAACCGAGGGGAUUCAAAAAAUGGUCGCCAAGAACCUGUUGAGAAGCUGGAGGGAGUUGUUGUAAGCAAGAGUAACUCGAGCAGAGUGGUUAAGGUCGGGUUAGAAUUGGGCGAAACAAUAAAAGGCGAGCUAGUGAAAUGCCUACAGUCCUAUGCAGAUAUAUUUGCCUGGUCUCAUGAGGACAUGCCAAAUAUUGAUUGCGGGAUAGCUUGCCACAAGCUGGCAAUCAAGAAAGGGGCAAGACUAGUGAGGCAGAAAAGGAGGUGAUUUAACCAAGAAAUGUACGAGGCCAUAAAUGCCGAGGUAGAGAAAUUGUUGAAAGCAGGAUUUAUAAGGGAGGCUAAAUACCCAGAGUGGAUUUCCAACGUAGUGUUGGUGAAGAAGGCCAACGGGAAAUGGCGAAUGUGUGUGGAUUUCACAGACCUUAAUAAGGCCUACCCGAAGGACAGUUUUCCCUUACCAAAAAUAGACCAAUUGGUGGAUUCAACGAUGGGGCAUAGUCUGCUCAGCUUCAUGGAUGCCUUCUCAAGAUACAACCAAAUAUCCAUGAACGAGCAGGACGAGAAGAGUACCACCUUUAUAACUAACAUGAGUUUGUUUUGUUACAGGGUGAUGCCUUUUGUCUUGAAAAAUACCAGAGCUACCUAUCAAAGGUUAGUGAAUAAGGUCUUCAAACCAUUAAUCGGUCACACUAUAGAGGUAUAUGUGGACGAUAUGAUCAUAAAGUUAAGAGAACCGAAGGAUCAUGUGAAGCACUUGGAAGAGACCUUCGAAUUGCUGAGGAGGUAUGAAAUGAAGCUGAACCCGGAGAAAUGUGCAUUUGGGAUCAGCUCUGGUAAAUUUUUGGGAUACCUGGUGAGCCACCGAGGGAUCGAGGCUAACCCGGAAAAAAUACGGGUGGUGAUAGAAAUGAGGUCCCCACGAACAGUUAAGGAGGUGCAGAGCCUUAUAGGGAAAUUGGCAGCAUUGAACCGAUUCAUUUCGCGAGCCACUGAUAAGUGCCACCCUUUCUUCCAAACUAUAAAGAAAGGGAGGAAUACGAAAUGGACAUCAGAAUGCGAGGAGGCAUUUGGACAGCUAAAUGAAUACCUAGCCCGCGCCCCGUUACUAUCAACUCCGAGAGAGGGUGACCAGCUGCUUUUGUACUUGGCAAUCUCUAAAUGGGUUACCAGCUCGGUCUUAGUCAGGGAAGAAGAAAGAAAGCAACAUCCGGUAUACUACACAAGCAAGGCCCUGGUAGACGCAGAAACCAGAUAUCCACUGAUGGAGAAGUGGGCGCUGGCUCUAAUAACGGCAGCACGCAAACUCCGACCAUAUUUCCAGGCCCACCAGAUUGUUAUGAUGACUGACCAGUCCCUUCGGCAAAUGCUUCAAAAACCAGAUGCAUCUGGUCGGUUAGUAAAAUAGUCCAUAGAGCUGAGCGAAUUUGACCUAUCCUAUAGGCCCCGAGGAGCAAUCAAAGUCCAAGCCCUGGCCGAUUUUAUGGUUGACCGUGCUGAAAAGGGAGAAGAGAUUCAGGAGGAACAACCAAUAGAGCAGGAGAAACCAAAGGGGGUGUGGCUGGUGAUGGUUGAUGGGUCACGUAGUGAACAGGGAUCUGGAGCAGGAGUUGUAAUACGGAGCCCAGAAGGGGUCGAGGUAUCCUAUGCAGUAAAAUUCGAGUUCCAGCUUACGAAUAACCAAGCUGAAUAUGAGGCCUUCAUUACUGGGCUCGGGCUUGCACACGCGCUACAAGCUGAAAGAGUAGAAAUCCAAGCAGAUUCCCAGCUAGUCUGCAAUCAGCUCUGCGACCAAUUCCAAGUAAGGGAAGAGAAGUUGGGGCUUUAUUUGAAGAAGGCGAAACAAAUAGUUGGACUCUUCAAAGAGGUAGAGGUAAAGUAGAUAUCCCGGAAUGAGAAUUACCGAGCAGAUAUGUUGGCUAGAAUGGCUGCAAUUGUAGAUCCAAAAUUACCUAAGUGAGUUCCACUAGAGGUGAGGACCUCGCUGAGUAUAGAGGAGGAAGUAGAGGUAAUGAGAGUAAGCACUGAAGAAUCCUGGAUGGACCCGAUUCUCGCAUACAUCCGCGAUGGCAUUUUACCGGAGGACAAAAGGCAAGCAAGAAAAUUAAAAUGCCGAGCAGCAAGGUACACGCUGGUUGAUGGGGUGCUCUACCGCUGAGAAUUCACCUUGCCCCUUUUGAGAUGUUUGGAUGAUGAAGAGGCAGAUUAUGUACUGAGGGAGAUUCAUGAAGGAAUAUGUGGUAAUCACUUGGGAGCAAGAACUUUAGCUUUCAAGGCACUCCGGCAAUGAUACUUUUGGCCAACCAUGCACCAGGAUGCGAAAAGGAUGGUAAAGAGUUGUAAAAUCUGCCAAAGCUUCUCGAGGUUCUUGCACAACCCCAAGAAAAGCUGACCACUAUGACAUCCCCAUGGCCUUUUGCUCAAUGGGGAAUCGACUUGAUUGGUCCGUUACCAAAAGGCCGAGGAGCGGCAGCACAUGCAAUUGUAGCAAUAGACUACUUCACCAAGUGGGUAGAAGUGAGAGUCCUCAGCCAAAUCACGGAGAGAAAGACGACAGAUUUUAUUUGGAAGAAUAUUAUCUGCAGAUACGGAAUCCCUUAUACCAUCAUUACAGACAAUGGGAGGCAAUUUGACAACAACAAUUUCAAAGAAUUUUGCCGGAACCUGGGGGUGGACCUGAAGUUCUGCACCCCCGCACGCCCCUAGGCAAAUGGACAAGUGGAAGCAGCCAACAAAGUAAUAAAGAAACUCCUGAAAACAAGACUGAGAGAGAAGAAGGGAGCUUGGGUCGACGAGCUACCAGGAGUACUGUGGGCUUACCGGACAACUCACAAAACUGCCACCGGGGAAACCCCGUUUGUUUUAACUUUUGGUCAUGAGGCGGUAGUCCUAGCAGAAAUUAGAGUAGGAACACAUCGGACAGAAUACUUCAAUAAAGAGCAAAACGAUGAACAGAUCUGCUUGAGCCUGGACCUGUUUGAGGAGAAAAGGGAAGGGGCCUCAUAGAAAGUGGCUCAGUGUCAGCAAAGGGUCAUGCGUUAUUACAACAAGAACGUACGCAUGAGGCAAUUCCGAGCAGGGGAUUGGGUACUUAGGAAGGUGAAUCAAAACACUAAGGAUCCUAACCAUGGCGCUCUUGGCCCGAAAUAGGAAGGCCCGUACAGGGUGAUACGAGCGACUGGACCAGGAGCUUAUAAGCUAGCGUACCCAGAUGGACGAGACGUGAAGAGGUCGUGGAACGCCGAGCACUUGAAAAAGUAUUUCUAGUAAGCAAAGUGCUCUACUAAGUCUUCAUUUUGAUAAGUUAUCUCUGUUAAAUGCAUGAUGACUUGUUACACAUGCAUAUAUUCUGUAUUUCUGUGAUGCAUUCAAAUUUCAAUAAAGAUAAAUUCGGCAUGAAAUCCCCCUACUAGCAAGGUUCACUGAGGCAAGCAAGUGCUUAAUCUUGCUCGGUCAACGAAAGGCCAGCAAGCAAUACUACAAAGUUCUACAAAGGCAAGCAAGUGCCUGUUCCUUCUCGGUCAACGAAAGACCAGCAGGCAAUUUUACGCAAUUUUCACUAAGGCUAGCAAGUGCCUAAUCUUGAUCGGUCAAUGAAAGGCCAGCAGGCAAUACUACAAAGUUCUACAAAGGCAAGCAAGCGCUUGUUCCUGCUCGGUCAACGAAAGACCAGCGGGUAAUUUUAUGGAAUUUUCACUAAGGCAAGUAAGUGCCUAAUCUUGCUCGGUCAACGAAAGGCCAGCAGGCAAUACUAUAAAUUCUACAAAGGCAAAUAAAUGCUUGAUCCUGCUCGGUCAACGAAAGACCAGCAGGUAAUUUUUACGAAAUGUUACUAAGGCAAGCAAGUGCCUAAUCCUGCUCGGUCAACGAAAGGCCAGCAGGCAAUACUACAAAGUUCUACAAAGGUAGGCAAGUGCCUGUUCCUACUCGGUCAACGAAAGACCAGCAGGCAAUUUUACAGAAUUUUCAUUAAGGCAAGUAAGUGCCUAAUCCUGCUCGGUCAACGAAAGGCCAGUAGACAAUAUUACAAAAUUCUACAAAGGCAAGUAAGUGCCUGCUCCAGUUCGGUCAACAAAAGACCAGCAAGCAACUUUACGAAAUUCUACUAAGGCAAGCGAGUGUCUAUUCCUGCUCGGUCGCCUAAAGGACCAGCAGGCAAAUCUACAAAUUUGGUUAUGACAAACAAGUGCCUAUUUCUACUCGGUCGAUUAAAGGACUAGCAGGCAAAGCUAACUAAAAGCGUUAAGAAAAUUUACAAAAAUGAUCUAUAAGCAAAACCACAACAGAAGAACCAAUAGAAAGCAUCUAGAAUUUAUGCUCAAAAUGUUUACAAAGCAGAUGAAAAUUUAGAGUUUCUACAAAAAUAGACCUAAAAAUUAGGAGGGUCGACGGCUUCAGUAGUUGAAGGAUCAGUAAUCUCGGGAGGUGAAGGAUCAGCAAUCUCGGGAGGUGGAAGAUCAGCAACACCGGGAAGAGGAGGCAUGGACCAUUGACCCACUUCAAAAACACGAUCCCCGACUUCCCCCUCAUGCACCCCAUCUAAAGGAGCCUCUACCUGAUCUCUGCACUCCAGCCUCUAGCUUGCUCAUGUCCAGCUCGGGAUAUUCUUCCUCAAGCACAGACAUGAUGCACUUAUAGCAGAAAGCAACCCCAGAGUCAUACUCUGCAUCCAGCCGAUCGUCCACAUCAACAUAUUUGCCUUUCGGCUCAGCCAACUGCUCAUUUAGGGAUUUGAUUUCUCCCUCAAGGGCGGUCCUCAAAGUAUCUCUUUCACUUUAAGUAGCCUGAAGAUCAGACUUCAGGUCACCCAACUCACCGUCAAGUUUGGAGGAGGUGGACUCAGCAACAACAACUUUCUCUUCCAGGUCCGUGAUCUGCUUGUUCAGCUCAGCCAGCAUCUCCUUUGAGCGAUCAGCAGAUUAAACCUUUUUCUUCAAAUCCUGAUUGUCAGCUUGAAGCCUCCUCUCAUGACGCGUGGCCCUGUUCUUAUAACAAGAAACUAUAGUGGCCAGCUUGAAGGAGACCCUCUGGACAGAACCAGCCAACUCACUGAGAUCCAUGCUCUCAAUGUCGUUGACCAUUUUCGGUCCCACUGACUUCCCAUAGUCUCUUUGGUACAGAGUCAGAUAGUCGCCUUGAUCCCGAGGCGGAAGAGGAGAGGAUCGGCCUUCAGAGUGAGUGCUGACCUCAGGACUCUUGUCGGAAGCUUUCUCCCCACCACUCUUACAAGGUAGAGGAGGGGGCAGCGUAGGAACAGGAGCCUUGGAAGGACCGACGCUGGUUUUCUUUGGAGGAGGAAGAGGGUUGCUGGAGUUGCUUGGAACCCGACCAUGCUUUCUAGUCAUAGCGCUAAGGAUCUUGUUAUCCAUUCCAGCAGUUAUGUCCACUAAACCCAAACCGACCAGGUUUGUUGGUGACAGGAGGUCUUGGCAGGUGGACGCGUUCACCAGAGCAGUUUCCACUUGAAGCAAAGGUCGGUCUUCAAGUUCCUUAAUCAAACCCUACGAUUCUGAAAGAGCAAACAAAGUUAAAGAACCCAAUAAAUGACAAUUUGAGAAAGAGUAUAGGCAAAAAAUGAACGACCUGAGGUGACAAAAUGCGUUGGAAGGUAAAUAUCACCACCCAACGAACUAGCUAUUGGACACCAACUUCCCCUAGUAAAGAAGAAUUUAUUCUUCUAAUUUUUGCAUGAAGAGGGGAAGCCGGUGAUUGGCUUCCUCUUCGCAGAGCUCGACAUGAAAUAAUACCAGCCUGCUUUCUUCGGCCUACUCCUCAGCUGGUAUAGAUGCUUUACUUCAACAAGGGAGGGCUCCUCUGAUCCACACCUAUCCCAUAACACAUACAUAGCUGAGAGAACCAUCCACCCGUUGGGAUGUAGCUGACCUGGGGCCAGGUGCAUACCACCCAGUAUCUUAGCAAAAUAACGCUGAAGGGGUAGUCGAGCUCCUAAUUUGAAACUCUCCAGGUGCAUCGUCACAUACCCCGGCGGAGGCCAACUCGGAACAUCACAUUUCCCAGGAACUAUAAGGAGAACCUCCUCAGGAAUGUUGUAGAGGUUCUUGAGCUUGAAUAGAUAAGUUUGUGUGGUGGCACAAGCUUUGUAGUCAAUAGGGUAAGAAUCCGCCUCUACCCUAUGGCCAAGGUUCCUUUUCUUAGGGUGCCCGCCCGGCUCGGAACUGCUUCCCUCACCAUUACCCACUUCUUCGGGGACCCCAACCCCACCAGAACUGUGGUUCUCACCAGAGUGCGACGCAGGUCCACUUCUAUUCCCUACAAGCUCUAGUUUAGGGGAGGGAGAAGUAGCCAAGGGACGUGGGUACUCAAGGGUAUCCCUACCAUGGGAGGGGCCUAUACUACAAGAGGGACGUAAAAAAUCAGUGGGUAUUGAUAAGUUAAGGUCUGAAUCCCCUGUUUCUUCAUUACUCACAUCAGCAAUUAACUUCCUUUUCCGAUUUGACAUAUCGAAAUCUCAAAAGAAAACAAAGCAAACCCGAGUAUACGGGUACAAAAGAGAAACAAUGAACCCAAUCAACAACAACCAAAGAAGGGGUUAAAGGCUAUACCUAGAAUAGACUGGCACUGGUAAGUGUUACUGUGAUAAAGGAAAAGACCCAGUAAAUGGAGAUUCCAGACGCAGAAAAAUAUGAACGAAGUUCGUAGGAGUUGUCUCACGGCAAAGAAGCGAAUAAGCAAAACGAAAGUAACUUUAGUUUAGGGAUUUGAAACGAAAAAGAGGAAAUGGAAGCGUUUGAGUGAUAGGAGUGACAGCUCAUCCACCGUAUAUCGAGGAUGGAUAGCCCGUCGUUUCAAAUUUCAAAUACGAAGAGUCUGGAGAUGCCACGUCACUAACCGUUAUAAGAGGCCAGACGAAACGCAAGCCUAGAUAUGCAAUGGACAUGCUCAUAAAGCCCCAUGUUCAGGUCGGAAUCUCCUCUGACAAGAGAGGGAACCUCAGGUCCAUACCAGUAAACAGAAGACCAGAUGGGAAGUUCCCCGGGCCGGUAAGAUUCGAUUAUCAGUUUUCAUUCUCAGCUCGUUUCACUUGCAAGACCAGAAACUGGGGGACUGGUGUUAGGUAAAUAAGAGCACCAGCUCGGCCAUUGUUAGAGUGCAAUUUAUGCACUAGUUUUGCAUUGUUUACUUCCCUUAAUAUCGAUGUUUUGCACUUAAUAAUAAUGAUUUACUUGUGUUUUACUUUUGUAGGUGCAAUUCUAUUGAUUUGUGAUAAAAUUGAGCUAUAAUAUUAUGUUUAAAGAUGAUUGUUCUCUUGGAGAAAUUUAGAGUGUCAGAAAAACUUUAUUGAUAAGGCGUGGGCGCAUGCUGUCAACUGCGGACCUGCAGUUUUUAGUUUAACGUGUUUUGUAUUUUUGGUUAUUUUUGUAAUUAUGAAUUUAAUAUUUCAGAUAUUAGUAUUUUAUUUUAAAUAGAACUCUAAAAGAGAAGAGAGAGAGAGUAUUUAAGGGAGGAAUCUAUUGUGAAAAAUGGGGGUUUUGGAUUGGAGAAAAAGAAAGAAACCCUAGAUCUAAUUUUUCUCUUUUCUUUAUGAAGAACUAAACUUAUUUUUCUGGUUGAAGGUUAAUGAAGCUUUGAUUCAUCACUACUGUGAGAUCUUUCUUAUGCUUUUAUUGUUUUAUUACUUUUUGGGUAUUUGUUUAUUCUCUGAAUUAGUUUCAUGAUUAUGUUUGUUAAUUAGGUAAUUGGCCACUAUUUAAUUAUCAACUUAAUCUAUUGUCAAUUAAAGGAUUUAUCGUAUGAAGAUUUUAAUAUUUGUGACAAAUAACAUAGCAGUGAGUUGUGUUAUGAGAGUAAACAAUCUAAUUUAAAUGAAUCAUCAUAUGUGUUGAUUAGGAUUUGGGUCUCUCUGGUUUUUCAAGCUGUCAAUUGAUUAAAUCAUAUGAUCGUAUCUAGGGUUGUCUAUUGAUUAGGGAAAUAUCCAACGGUCGUACCUUGGUUAUCGACUAGUUAAGGAGAGAUUGGCUAUUAGAGGGUCUCAAUAGUUAUAACCGGUCUAUUCAUAAGUAAUAAUAAUCUAUAUUUGAAUCAAUGAUCAGUAGUCGAAUCAAGCUGAGUUAAUUCCUUCAACCAGAGCUUUCUCCAAUUUGAAUUACAGCUUUAAUUUGUAUUCUUGUUAUUUUAAUUUAAUUUUUAUUAUUGUCAACAAUUCCUCCAUUUUACGUUUUACAUUUCAAAAGGAUUUAAAUAAUUAUCGAUCUCUGUGGACACGACCCUGCUCAAUCACUACACACAAUUUAUUUAGAGUAGGAAUUUAUUUUUGUUAGCUUCGACAACCAUCAAAUUUUGGCGCUGUUGUCGGGGAUUGGCGUCAUUUAUUUAAUUCUUUUUUACGUUUUACUUGGUGUAUGGUUCGUUCUUCUCGUACAGGUACACUUUCGUUUGAUCUUGAAAUUAAGAAGACAGCUCGCCAGCUGAGACAGCAGACGAAGCGAGCUAAGCAACGAUCCUCGUCGCCUUUGCUUUCUGAAACAGAUACAGUGCCUUAUUUAGUUGAAUCAUCUAACGAUUCAGAAGAACAAGUGAUGGAUAGAGCUGCACCUGUAGAAAGAACUCUUAGAGAGUUAGCUGAACCAGACUUGAAUCAGUAACCACUCUGCAUUCAAUAUGUAGACUUGGAGGUAAAUUUUGAAUUAAAGUCUGGUCUUAUUCAUUUAUUCCCAAGUUUCAUGGUUUUGCAGGUGAAGAUCCUCAUAAACAUCUUAAGGAGUUUCAUGUUGUGUGUUCAAGUAUGAGACCACAAGGUGUGACUGAAAAGCAGAUUAAGCUGCGUGCUUUUUCAUUCUCUUUAGAUGGGUUAGCUAAAGAUUGGUUGUACUACUUGCCUCCUGGAUCAAUUACAAUGUGGAAUGGUUUGAAGAAGCAGUUCCUCGAGAAGUAUUUUCCUACUUCAAGAGCUGCCAACAUCAGAAAAGAUAUUUGUGGGAUCAGACAACUUUCUAGAGAGACUUUGUAUGAGUAUUGGGAGCGAUUCAAACAAUUGUGUGCCAGUUGUCCUCAGCAUUAGAUUUCUGAUCAACUUCUUAUUCAAUAUUUUUACGAAGGACUAUCAUUGAUGGAUAGGAGAAUGAUAGAUGCUGCUAGUGGAGGCAUGUUGGUGAACAAGACCCCUACUCAAGGAAGGGAGUUGAUAUCAAAUAUGGCUGCCAACACACAACAAUUUGGCAGCAGGCAAGAUCCUACUUCAAGGAAGGUGAAUGAGGUAAAUAUUUCUUCUGUUGAACAACGUUUAUAUAAACUUACUUCUCUUGUGGAAAAGUUUGUUGUAGGUAAUGUGCAACAGGUGAAGACUUGUGGCAUUUGUUACAAUAUAGGUCAUUCAACCGAUAUGUGUCCUACACUUCAAGAAGAACCCAUUGAACAAGCCAAUGCAGUUGGAGGAUUUCCAGGCAUGCCUCAGAGGAGGUAUGAUCCUUAUGCACAAACAUACAAUCCGGGAUGGAAUGAUCAUCCCAACUUCAGCUAUGGAGUUAAGCCGUCAAGAUUCCCACAACAGUAUCCACCAAGACAACCAGCACCUCCACAGUCAAACUCCAAGUCAGGUAUAUCUCUUGAAAAAAUUGUUAAAUCACUUGCGACUAACACUCAACAAUUUCAGCAAGCAACUACAGCAAGCAUUCAAAAUUUGGAGAACCAAAUGAGUCAAUUGGCGACUACAGUGAGCCGUCUGGAGUCUCAAGUAUUAGGGAGAUUGCCUUCACAAUCUGAGAUGAAUCCAAAGAAAAAUGUUAGUGUUGUCAUCCUUAGAAGUGGGAAGGAGUUGCAAGAGCCUAGUAAGAAAGUGAUAAAGCAUGUAGAAGAUGAGCUUGAGAAGAAUGAAUUGAUGCCUAAAUCUCAAGAUGCGCAACCCACUAGAGCGAAACCCCUACCUAUUGUGAUACCUCAUUCUUUUCCAAGCCGGUUUGCAAAAUCCAAGAAAGAGGAACAAGAGAAAGACAUCCUUGAGACAUUUCGCAAGGUUGAGGUAAAUAUUCCUUUAUUAGAUGCUAUAAAACAAAUACCUCGAUAUGCUAAAGUCCUUAAGGAACUGUGCACCUCCAAGAGAAAAUUAAGAGGAGAUGAAAAAGUUCACAUGUGGGAGAAUUUUCAGCAGUUCUCCAAAAGAAACUACCUCUUAAGUGCAAGGAUCCAGGUAUGUUUACUAUCCCUUGUAAAAUUGGUAGUGUUAGAAUUGAAAAGGCUUUGUUAGAUCUAUGAGCUUCUAUUAAUGUCAUGCCUCGUUCCAUUUAUUCAUCUUUAAAUGUUGGUCCAUUAAAAGAAACUGGCGUGAUAAUUCAACUAGCUGAUAGGUCUAAUGCAUAUCCUGAUGGGGUAUUAGAAGAUGUCUUAGUACAAGUUAAUGAGUUGGUUUUUCCUGCUGAUUUUUAUGUACUUGAUAUGAAAUAGGAUAACUCCUCUAAUUAUGUCCCAAUUUUGCUAGGAAGACUUUUUCUUAAGACUGCUAGGACUAAAAUGGAUGUACAUAAAGGAACUCUCACUAUGGAGUUUGAUGGAGAGGUUAUAGAAUUCAAUAUGAAUGAUGCCAUAAAAUAUCCUAGUGAGGAACAUUCGGUAUUUUCUGUGGAUGUUAUUAACCCUAUAGCGCAGGAAGUUUUUUACAAGGAAAAGACGAAGACAUUUCAUGAUAGAAUGAUUUUGAGAAAAGAGUUCUCUAUUGGUCAAAAAGUUCUUCUUUUUCAUUUUAAACUUAAACUUUUUCCGGGUAAAUUACGUUCUUACUGGGUUGGACCUUUUAUUAUUACUAAUGUUUUUCCUCAUGGUGCAGUAGAGAUUCGGAGUCUGACCUCUGACAAAGUUUUUAAAGUUAAUGGUCAUUGCUUAAAAUCUUUUUAUGAAGAUUUUUUAGUGAAUAUUGUGGAGGAUGUGGCUCUCGAGAGUCCCAAUUAUGGAGAUUGAUGCAUAAAUGUGUCUAGCCAAAGACAUAAAACAAAGGCGCUUUUUGAGAGGCAACCCAAAUGAUUUAUUUAUUUUGGUUUUUGUUAUUUCUUCUUUUAAUUUUGAUUUAGAUUUUUUUUAAAUAAUGUGUUUGCUAAUAAGUACUUCUGUGAUUUUUAAAGUAAAAUGGUUUUAAGGCGUGCCCACGUGCUUAUUAGAAAAGUACUUCUGAAAUUUUUAGUGUCUCAAGUGAUUCAUCACUAAAAAAAAAAAUCGUUUUCUUUCCUAGCAACCAGCCGCUCCAGCCUUCACCAGAGCAACAGUUGCGUUCACCGAGCAGCCAUGCACGCCCAGCAACCCACGCAUCUCAGCAUCUCCCAUAGCAGCAGCCCGUGCGCAACAAUCCCACCAUUUCCGCCAAGCCCAUAGACGUUAUGAGGAUCAAAGCUCACAAUUCAGGGAAGUUAUUGCCUUUAAUCUUUUAUCCUUACGCUUUAAUUUUUAUGUGAGCUUUGAUUAUCUUACAUUGGGGACAAUGUAAUUUCUUUUGUGUGGGGGAGAGAUUUUUGCAUUAUUGAUGUCUGGAAUUAUUAUUUUCACUCUACUCAUCUAUUUUCACUCUACUCAUCCUUAAAUGAUUUUAGAGUUAGUAUGCUUCAUAUAUUAUUAAUUUUCUUUUCCUUUCUCUCUCACUACUCUUUUCCCAUAUAUCUCAAAUUAUUUACAUUUAUUUUUUUUCUAUCAUACUCUUUCAUCACUCACAUUUUAUCUUUCAUUUUUUUACUACAUACAUCUUUCUCGCUUAUUAUCCUUUUUACCUUUCCUUUCAUAUCUCAAUCAUACCUUCUUCUCAUUAUACACCACUAUUGAUGGUUGAUUCAUUUGAAGAGUGUACAUGAUUUGAUGGCAAAUUUACCAACUUUGUGAAGAUUUGAGCCUAUGAGCAACCACUUUGCUCUAAUUAUUUUUGUUAUGUGAAUAUCAAUCCUAGUUUGUUUAUUCUAGAACUUGCUUUGUUAUGCAUGUUGAAGCCACAUUACGGGAUUUUAUGCAUUAAAAUGAUAAAGGCAAACCAUUUACCAUUUUUCUAUUCUCCAUUUUCCUUUUUCUCUACCCGAAGACCUUUAUUUGAGGCUUAACCAUUACCCAUCUAAUUCUCUCCGUCUACUUAACCAUUUUUAUUCUUUUUGAGCCUCAAUUUAAGGAGAUUUUUAGACUCAUUGUGUAGAUAUAUUUUGUUACUUUUUCUACCUUGUAUUAAAAUUUCUCAAUUAGAUCAACAAGCAUUAUGCUUGAAUAAAAUUGUGCAAGGUUCGUUUCUUUUGUUUGAUUAAAAAAAACAAAAACAAAAACAAAAAAAAGAAAAAAGAAAAGAAAAAUAAAAAUCGAAAAAAAAGAGAAAAAUUUUACAUUCUUGGUGACUUGAGUAGAAAUAAGCAUUUUGAUAUCAUAAGUUCAUUCAAUGAGUUCAUUCUUCUCAUUUUGAUCUCUUUUUCUUUCAUAGACUUUUCUUUUUCAUUUAACCUAUUUAACUCCGUUACAACCAUUUUAAGACCCUUAGAUUUUUGCAUUUAAUUCAUGUUUUGUGGAUUGAGAUGUGAUAUAUGAGCAAGCUUAUGGUAAUAGCAUUCUUUGAUUUGAUUUGAGUGCAUAAAUGACACCCUAAACACUUUGAGUGCAUGGAGUGAAGUUAUUGAGAGGGCUAUUAAAUGUUGUUGCACUUGAAUUUUGAAUGGAUCUUCUUAGUGGUUGAAUGUUCUUAUUCUAUCUUAUGAAAUUCUAUGCUUUAAAAUACUUGUCUCUCGAAUGUUGAACGACUUAAUUUCUUGAGGUUUACUUGCUUAAAAUUGCUUUUGCAUGAGUUGAGAUGAGAAUUGAGUGGAGAUUUGGGAUUAGUCUUGAGUUAUAUGCUUGAGGACAAGCAUCAUCUUGGUGUGGGGGAAUUUGUUAGAGUGCAAUUUAUGCACUAGUUUUGCAUUGUUUACUUCCCUUAAUAUCAAUGUUUUACACUUAAUAAUAAUGAUUUACUUGUGUUUUACUUUUGUAGGUGCAAUUCUAUUGAUUUGUGAUAAAAUUGAGCUAUAAGAUUAUGUUUAAAGAUGAUUGUUCUCUUGGAGAAAUUUAGAGCGUCAGAAGAACUUUAUUGAUAAGGCGUGGGCGCGUGCUGUCAACUGCGGACCUGCAGUUUUUAGUUUAACGUGUUUUGUAUUUUUAGUUAUUUUUGUAAUUAUGAAUUUAAUAUUUCAGAUAUUAGUAUUUUAUUUUAAAUAGAACUCUAAAAGAGAAGAGAGAGAGAGUAUUUAAGGGAGGAAUCUAUUGUGAAAAAUGGAGGUUUUGGAUUGGAGAAAAAGAAAGAAAUCCUAGAUCUAAUUUUUCUCUUCUCUUUAUGAAGAACUAAACUUAUUUUUCUGGUUGAAGGUUAAUGAAGCUUUGAUUCAUCACUACUGUGAGAUCUUUCUUAUGCUUUAAUUGUUUUAUUACUUUUUGGGUAUUUGUUUAUUCUCUGAAUUAGUUUCAUGAUUAUGUUUGCUAAUUAGGUAAUUGGCCACUAUUUAAUUAUCAACUUAAUCUAUUGUCAAUUAAAGGAUUUAUCGUAUGAAGAUUUUAAUGUUUGUGACAAAUAACAUAGUAGUGAGUUGUGUUAUGAGAGUAAACAAUCUAAUUUAAAUGAAUCAUCAUAUGUGUUGAUUAGGAUUUGGGUCUCUCUGGUUUUUCAGGUUGUCAAUUGAUUAAAUCUUAUGAUCGUAUCUAGGGUUGUCUAUUGAUUAAGGAAAUAUCCAACGGCCGUACCUUGGUUAUCGACUAGUUGAGGAGAGAUUGGCUAUUAGAGGGUCUCAAUAGUUAUAACUGGUCUAUUCAUAAGUAAAAAUAAUAUAUAUUUGAAUCAAUGAUCAGUAGUCGAAUCAAGCUGAGUUAAUUCCUUCAACCAGAGCUUUCUCCAAUUUGAAUUACAACUUUAAUUUGCAUUCUUGUUAUUUUAAUUUGAUUUUUAUUAUUGUCAACAAUUCCCCCAUUUUACGUUUUACAUUUCAAAAGAAUUUAAAUAAUUACCGAUCUCUGUGGACACGACCCUGCUCAAUCACUAUACACAAUUUAUUUAGAAUAGGAAUUUAUUUUUAUUGGCUUCGACAACCAUCAGCCAUGCCAUCAUCCCCACGCCGGGGUGGACCACCUCAGCCGAGUGGUGCGAGCAGAACACUGAUAAUGAGCCUUCUACAAACAUGGGCCGACCAAAGACGAGUACCGGUUAGAGGAAUAUACCGACCAGAGACAUAUACCGAGCCGAUACCCAUCCCCCAAAGAGCGGGAACACGAUCUCACAGAAUCACGAUAGUUGCGCUUUUCCCAGAACCGUUGAGGGAGACGCGAGAUCCCACGUUUGCCCACAAUGUAGCAGUUAGAGCCCCAUGAGGGGCUGCCACUACCCGAAAAAGGGGGGAUGAAGGGUGAAUGAAAACGUGGGACAUCGACUAUAAAAGAGGAAGAAAUCAAUGAAGAAGAGGGGGGAAAAUUAAGAGAAUGGAAAACUCUACCAAAUUGAAACCAGACCAUUUUCAAUACAAAAUUGUGAGCUCAUUAUAAGCAAUUUAUCGAAUCUUAAUUGCACGGUUUUCCCGUAAACACCUUGUGCUAACUUAGGCAUUGGAGGGUUUACGCCGGCAAAACCACCGGCGUCUCUAAUCCUUUUUUUGUGAACGCAAGCUUAGUGGGAGAAGGAAGGAUAAUUCCAACUUCAGUGACUAGAGCGAUCGUCGAAGUAAGAAGAAAUUGACAUCCUUACUGUUGAUAACAUAAACGUUGGUGUAAAGGUCUGGUUGGAAAAAGGACGAGCAGAUUUCAGCAUCAACACACACAAUACCAAUAAAUCUAACAACAAACUCGUAAGAAUGAAAUUAAUUUUAUUUUCCUGUAAGAAUAAAAUUUAAUUAAAAAAUUCAAAGAAUUGCCAAUCGUUUUCUUAGAGUUUAAAAGUAAUAUUGACUACUGAAUUUAUCCACAAAUUUUUAAAUUAUGAUUUUUUUGGGUUGGUUCAUAGACAAGGACAUUAUUGUAAUUUUAAAUCUCAUAAAUAAAAGAUCUAAAAUUCUAUGAAAAAAUAUACUCUUUUUUAUUAGCUUAUAUUUCUUAGAAAGUGCUCCCAAAUUAUACAUAUAUAUAUUUUAAAAAAAGUAUUAUUUUAAAAUUUUCUAAUGUUUCUCCUAAUUUGCUCUGUUAUAAUUGUCAUGAUGAUACAAAAUCAGGAUAAUCAAACAAACAAACAUUAGUUAGCCCUAGUUAUCAAUAGAAGAAACGAUAUUAAAUAAAAUUGUCAUUUUCAACAAAGAAUAAUAAUAAAUAUAUGAUAAAAAAAGAAUAAUUAUAUCACUCUAACCGAUAUUUACGGGAAAAAAAAAAAUCUCACAGGAUACGUAUUGCGGUGAAACCUUUGUUAUUUGUGUGUGAAUAUUUGGCGGCAACUAUUAAGGCAAAAGCUAAUCCAAUAUUAAGACAAAUAAAUAAUUAUUUAAAGGUAACAUUUACAAAUUCACGAGUUUUUUUUAUAUUUUUUUUAUCAAAGGAUGUUUAUUAAUUACAAAUGAGAAGAACUUGGAAAAACAAUAUAUUUAAAUACAAAUAAACUUUAAUAAGUCUCUUUGACGCAAUGCAUUAUUUAAUUAUUUAAUUUGUUUUCAUCUACUUUGGUGCUCAAAUCAAUUGAGAGAUUCAUUCUGGAACCAACUUUUGGCCAUGGCUACUCGUCCUGCAAAAAUAGAACAAAUUGCAGAAACAUUACUGGACUGAAACUGCUACAGAGCAUGAUCAGAGAUAUGAGGAUGAGCACACUUGAUUAUCUUCUAGCUGACGUGUAACAGUUAGUUUGCUGAGUCAGCAUUAUUGCUUUUUUUUUAAUUAAUAAAGGGCUCUAAAUAGAGCUAAGGCAAUACUAAACGGGAGUGUGCAACUCCAGAAACAUCAUUGUUUAAAAUGUUAAGCAAAUUUAAAGGAGUAGACUGAAAAUAAUGCAGACCCACAGGAAAAGCUAAACUAUAGGUAGCAAGAAAGUCUGCUGCUGCAUUUGCUUCCCGAUAAAUAUGAUUCAUUUGAAUCAACCAAUCUCGUCCGAUUAGCUCUUGGAUGGCUGUGAUUAGAGAAAGAUGCUCAUUGAUGGUGGGGUUCGAAUGAGAGACUAGCUGCAAGAUGCACCUGCUGUCCACUUCCACUAUCACCCUACGAUAACCAUGAAGCCAAGCUAUGGAUAACCCAUGAAAUAAACCCCACAACUCAGCAGAUGUUACUGAGCAAAAGCCUAAGUUAGCACAAUAUCCGAUCUCCCAAACUCCUCUGUAAUCACGAAUGAGUCCGCCAGCUCCUGCAUGGUCUGAAUGCUUCUUGGCACCAUCAGUGUUCAACUUAACCCAAGGCCAAGUAGGAGCACCCCAGCGAAUCCAUUUUUCGACACGGCUCUUGUCAGUGGCGGUAAGGGAGUCAGCAUUAUUGUUAACAAACUCAUUAAGCAUGUAUAGGCGUUAUAACAAACUCUAGUCAGCUUCUUUACAAUGUAUAAAUCCUGAGCUUAAAACAUUUUUGUAUAAUACAAUUUUAAUUCUAAUAAAUUCCAGAUUGAUUCUUCUUCAUAUCUUUUCUUCAUUUUCUCGUUGAUUUUCUUACUUACCAAACACACAUUUACAUAAUCUUCGAGAAACCAUGCAGCAAAAUUGACAUGGAAGGAAUUUAAUAGAGAAAGAGAUAUGGGCAUUGAAAGUUACCUGAGAUGAGUUGCUGCAUUAUUUAUAUUCUAGAACCCUACAAACUUACAGAAAGGAUUGAGGACAUCUUUAGAAUUGGCUUGAUCCCACUCCAAUGAUUCCCAUAAUUCUUUCUUUAUCUCAAUAACUUUGAGCGCAGGGGGUGGAGAUGGUUGCCCGUUAUCAAGCAGAGAAAGCGAAAGAGAAAGCCGCUUCAAUUUGGGGCAGCCGCGUACUUCAAUUUCUUGGAGAGAAUUACAAACCAAUACCCCAUUAUCACUGCAGAAGCUCUUAAAUUCUAGCAAGUUAGAAAAACGCAACUUCUUCAAUCUAGGAAGUGUAAUGAUGGUAUUUGUUGCUAAUUCUUUCUCAGUUUCUUCAUCCUCGACCGCUGCUAUCUCCUCGAUUGAAUCGCACUCUAUGACUUCGAGAUCUUCCAAGUUUUGAAGGGCAGGCAAUAACCGAAGCGAGAACAAAUUUUUUAAAUUAGGACAACGACCAAAUGAAAGAACUUUAAGAUCAUGUGAAAACUUGCCAAUGUUAACUAAUCCUUGUUCCCUUGGUAAAACAUCAUUUAAGCUUGCAACGUCGUCGACCCAAUACAUAUCUAAACAUUGAACAUCUUCUGGGAGCACAAUGGGUUCUUCUCUUUCACAGAUUUUGCAACCUUCUAAGAAUACUGAUUUAUCUACUUUGAGAUCAGUAAUCAGAAAUCUCCCCAUGCCAAAUGCCGACAGCAGAAGACAAUAAUUUUUCGAUCCUCGACCAUCUGUAGAUUUAACAUAUAUGUUGAAAUCUUUGAGUGUAGAAAAAUGGCCUUCAAAAGUGUCCAAUCUAUCGCUCAAUCUAGCUGCCUCUUCCACUGUUUCUCGUAAAGCUUCAUUCCCAAAAGAUAAUUUCAAUUUGUAGAGAUUACGUAGUCUAGGUAAUAUACCAGUCGGGAACUUCUUCAGCGGCGGUGAAGAGAAAUAAAGAUGACUAAGGUUUUCCAACAUUUCCAUACCUUCUGGGACUUCUUCAAUCGAUGUUACUUCGAGGUCCAAGUACUGGAGAGCCAACAGCUUUGCCAAAGAAGGAACUCGCUCUAAGUUUUCACACCAUCGAAGCAACAACGAUCUUAGAUUCAUCAAGUCAGAGACGGAACUUGGCAAGACUUCAAUGUUGGUGCGAGAAAGAUUGAGAACCUUCAAACCAUGCAUGUGCACAAAGAAACAUUCAGGAAUCCUCUGUAAAUGUUCAUUGCAUUGUAGCAACAAAGUUGAAAGAAUGUCACAAUGUGGUGACAUAUUUGAAGGGAUCUCCUCGAAGUCAUUCUCCAUCAGUGAAACUCUCUCGAGAUUCGCUUUCCAUUCUUGUUCACCUGGAAAUUCCCGUAAACGUUCUCUAGCUUUCACCAUGAAUAAAGGACUCUCGCUUGUAAUGCGCAACGCCAUGUCUCUUAUAAGAUCAUGCAUCUUCACACAACUACCAUCUUCAGCGCUCUCCAAUAAGCAGCAAUUUACAAGCCUGUUCAAUAUAGUAUGCCCUCUAUUAUAUUUUACUCGCACAUCCUUCACUUCUUCGAUAAACCCUUCUGCAAUCCAGUGAUCUAUCAGCUCAUCCUUUGGGAUGGCAAAGUCUUCAGGAUACAGUGCACAAUACAAGAAGCACUGUUGGAGCUUUUCAUCUUUCAAGCGAUGGUAACUGAAUUCUAAUCGCCCUAACACUUUAGUAUCUACGUCAUUCAAACUUCUCAGCCGUCCACGCAAUUCAUUGAGCGCAUUUUGCCAUUCAUAAAUUUCUUCUUCACCGCUCAUGGAAGCAGCUACAGUUACAAUUGCCAGCGGUAAACAACCACAUUCCUCAACAACGUCGUUUAUGAUUUCUUUAUUCAAAGCUGGAACUUGCAAAAUGCUGCAGCCAACUCCGUCUAUAAACAAAUUAAAUGCCUCCUGUUUAGAAAGCAAUUCAACUGCGACUUGUUUACACUUCAUAGAACGACAGACCCUAUGUGAACGUGUGGUUAUCACCAAUUUGCAUCCGUUCUCUUCACUAGGCUCAGGGAUUCCUACUUCCUCGAGAGGGAAUGCUUCCCACAUAUCAUCUAGUAUCAACACAAACUUCUCUUUAGCUUUCAACAUUCCUAGCAACCUCCCUGCACGUCUUACUUUAUCUUCAUUUUCUGAAAGACUUUGUUUCAAUGCAGUCGCAAUCUCAGUUUGCAGUUUAAUAAGAUCAAGUGGUUGAGACACGGUGACCCAAAUCACAACAUUGAACUUAUUAGUUUCUUUCUGGAGUCUGUUGUUAAUUUCUUUCAUGAUAGUUGUUUUACCAAUACCGCCCAUACCCCAAACUCCUAUCUUUGUGACCUUAUCACCCAUCAAAUCCUCCCAAAUUCUUUCCACAACUUUCUUCGUCUUUUCGCCUGCUAAUGUUGCCGUGGUCAACGUCAAUCCUCUGGAUGGGGGUGCAUCAAUCACCAAACUAGUGAAAGAACGACCCUUUUGAUGAUACUCGUUCACUUCUUCAAUCUUCUCCUCAGCAUGUUUCCCCAAACGCGCACGUGAGAAAUAUUUUCCUUUCUUCACAUCCUCCUCAAUACUAUGUGCUUCCCUGUUGAUCCUUUCUACGUUUUCCAACCAAUCAUUGACUUCAUUUCUUGGUUGUUUGUUCCCCAGAUCACACUCUGCCUUCAAUGUUGCUUCUAUAUCUGCUUUCUUGCUAUUUAACUCCUGUAAUACUCUUUCAAGUUUUUUCAUUAUUUCACUGAGCUUUCGGUGGCGGUGAACAUAUUGGCAUAUCGGUGGCCCCACACACUUAAAAAAUUCAAGGAUUGUUCCUAUAAAAUCCAUAGGCAGGUCCUACAAGUAUAUCACUAUAACAUUAGUGUAUAUGAUUUCUUCUGGAGCAAUUUCAUUUAUCAAAAUUGCAUCAAAUUUUGGGAUAAAAUGUUAAACCUACCGGAAUAAAGAUCAUAAUAUAAUUUCUUUGAACUAAUUCGUCAAGUUUUAAAUUUUAUUUUUGUGGCUUUAGAUUAGCUUUAAAUUUUCCUUCAACUACGAAACUAUACUUUUUUUUUUCAAGCAAAUAAUGCCUCACUUUUUUUUUUCUUUUCCUUCUCUUUUGUACAUAAUUGUAAUUUUCCUUCCAUACGGUUUAUGUACGAACCCUAUGUCUAUUUUUUUUUUUUUUUCAAUCAUGAACUAUAACCGUUAAACUCAUGUUUUCUAAUUUUUAAGUGAUCAAGUUUUCUACUCUAAGCAAGUGAAUUGUUGAAUUAAAGAAAAAUACUGCAGUGCCCUUAAUUAUAAAUUACAUUAUGGAAAUUCUGGUGCUUAAAAUUUUUAUUAAAACAUGGUUAUUCAACAUACUUUUUAUGGUGCAAAGAAUCCCGUAGUGUAGUUUAAAAAGAUAAAGUUAUUUGUACUUUUAGUAAUUUUAUAUCUAUUCAGGACUGAUGAAAUAAGAUUUGGGAUUCAAUAUUAUCACUCAAAUUUUAAUUUAUUCCUUUAUUAUUUUUCAAAUUUGGCAGUAGCCCCUAUGACGCUGGGUAUGAUAUGAGCUAAACAACUCAAGCAUUUAACUCAAGAACCGGAUUUGACAAAUUUCCAUGGUAUUUUUGCCAACUCUUGAUUCUUUGGGAAAACCGCAGAUUUAAAGACAUUUGUUAAAACUAAUGGUCGAAUUCUAUUUUGUUUUUUUCAUCUUAAUCUAGGAUACUCAUUUUUUGCUUCUUCUUCUUCUUCUUUUUUUACAAUUUUUCUUCUUUUAAUUUUAGUAUUUUAUUUUCAUCUUACUCUUUCGAGAUUUUUCAUUAUUUUCAGUCAAUUUUCAGUAGUUUUAUUUAUUCUUGCUACAGUACGGUUUGUCAUAAAUUAGAAUUCUAACCAAAUAAAUCAGUCCAAAAAUCUAAACUUUUCUUCCUUUAACUUUUAGUCUUUUAUUUUAUUAGUCCGUCAGUUUGAUUUUAUUUUUUUAUUUUUGUCUCCUCUAAGUGGUUUUCAUUUUUUUUAAUUUCGGUUCAAAUUUGUUAUUAAUUAAAAGGAACAAAUCGGUUCUUAAAUAGCUAAACCGACACAAACCCAUUACUGCAUAAUAAUAAUAAUAAUAAUAAUAAUCAAAAUCCGACCAUUAGAUGGCAUAAAUCAAUAAAUGAAAAUUUGCAUCUCAAUUUAAGAUGCCAGAAGAACUAUUAGACUUUAGUGAUGAAACAAUAUUGCAAUAUGAUUUAAAUGAAAAGAUAAGUUACCUGAAUCAACUGGUUGUUGUUCGUAGCUUCCUCAAAUGUUUGUUAAUUAGGAAGGAAGAAACCAACCUAUGACAAGCUUGAAGGUAAAACAAUAUCACUUUUUGAAUGAUAAUAUCCUUUUCACUUUGUGGAAAAAAAAAUAAAUGAUUGAGAAUCACAAUGAAACAUUCGCUAUAUCAUGAAAGCAGAUAAUGUAGUAAAUAAUAGAUGAAGCAAUUAAUCAAAUGAUGUAACAACAUGGUAAUGAAUCAAUAAAAGAAGAGAAUCUAUUUUGAGGUAAUUAAGCAACAAUAUUUGAUUACGUUAAAUUAAUUCUUUACUGUGGUUGAAAAAUAUAGAUUCCUCUUCUUAUAAAAGGUCUUCAUCUUCGUAAAAAAGCCUAAAUAACUAGAUAAUUACAUUUAAGUUUGAUAGCACUAUCUUAAUUUGUGCCACUGCAUUUGGAAUUGUAGAAAAUCAGUGUUUUGGUGGGCUUGUGUUACAUUUCAUCACCGAUCCCCCACUACCACAAACAUCAUUUUAGAUAUUUAAAUAAUUUUUAAUGUUUAUUUAAUUAAAUUGGUUUCAUUAAGUUCAGUGAUGAGACUUGAUAUUUUUUCUAUAUACAAUCCCAAGUAAUUCAAUCACACUAAGGGCAAAGAGUUCAUAGAAAGAAUCAUUUCUGGUCAGGACAAAAAGAAGUUCGUAUAAUGAAAAAUAAAUUCUAAAUCAUUUAUAACAUUAACAAACACAAAAUGAAUCAAAACGAAGAAGUGUUAUCAUGGAAAAAAUGAUUUAAAAAUAUGAUUGUCGAUAUGAAAUCAGUUAAAAAUAUAGUAGUUAAUUUAAAAUGAUUGUAUAAAUUUUGAGUUAUUAACCUCAAGCAAUCCAAUAAAAGAAUAGAGUUGUUUGGUAACAAAAAUUGUUACCUUUGUAGUAAAAAGUUUUAACCAUUUAUUAUCUAGAUUAAUAAAUAAAAUUUAUUAUCUCAAUUUAAGAUGUUUGAAGAACUAAUGGUAUCACAGAUAAAAUAAUUCAAUAGUGCAAUAUAACCUAAAACAAAGAUAUUUGAUUACCUAAACAAAAUGGUAUUUGUAGCCUCAAAUGUUUGUUAAAGGAGAGAAACCACUAAAAGUCCUGGAUCAUCCACUAAUAUUAGUUUCAUGACGUGUUUCAUUCUUUUUAUUAAUAUUUUUUUUUGUGCAUUGUCUUAUUUCUUUUAAGGGGCAAAGAACAUACUUACUAUUUUUAAUCGGCUUAAAUAAACAUCAAAGGCUAUAUAGCAACUAGAAUGCUUAAGAAUAUCCUUAUUCUCAUUUGCAAAACAAACGUAAAUAAUAAUGAACAAUUCAAAAUAUAAAUUUAAGUUGUUGAUUCAAAAUUAUUAUAUAAAUUUUGAGUCAUUAGUCUCAUGUAAUUUAAUAAUCGAUAUAAUUGGCUGGUAACAAUAAAUACUACAUUUUAACUAAAAAUUUCAAUUGUUGGAUUGCAUAAAUUAAUGAAUGAAAAUUUGUAUCUCAUUUUAAAUGUUUGAUGAACUAAUUGCAUUACAGAUAAAAUAAAUAUAAUCUAAAAGAAAGGAUAACUUACCUGAACAAAUUAGUUGUUGUAGCCUCAAAUAUGUUAAGAGGGAGAAACUAAUGAGCCUGAAGGAGAAAUAAGAUUACUUUUUACUGAAUGAUAAUGAUCUUUGUACUUAUUGGAAAAUAAAAAAAUGUGAAGGAUCAUAAUGAAAGCCAACAAAUAAAGUAAAGAUUAAUGUAGCCAAUAACAAAUAAAGUAAAGUAUCAAAUGACAAUUAAUCAAUAAAAGCAAAGAAUCUAUUUUUCAAAUAAUCAAGCAAAAAUACGUGACUACAUCAAAUUAAUUCUUUAUAAAGAAAAUGGUUUAAAAAUAUGAAUGUCGGAUAUUAUCUGAACUAAUUAUAAAAGAAACCGGCAGUCAAUAUCAUCUACGAGAGAAGAUAUCUAAUUACUCAUGUAAUGAAAAAAAAAAAGCAAAGUAAGAAUUAAUCGUGACUGAUAACAAAUAGAAGAAUUAAUGUAGCCAAAACCAACAAUAAAUAUUUGAUAAAGCAAGGAAUCAAAUGGGUGUGCAACAUCUCAAGCCUGAGAAUGUAGCUGGCUUGAAGUAUUAACCAAGCAAGGAUAUACCAAUCACGUAAAUUGAUUAUGUAUUGAAGCAGAAAAGUAUAGAUUCUUCUACUUUUUUUAGUUUUUUUAUUUUUGGUUUUCACAGGGUAUAGAUUCUUCUAUUUAUUAUCAUGUCUUCAUCUCUAUUACAAGCCCUAAUUAAUUAAAGUACAUAUUUUUUAAAAACUUUUCUAUAUAAUUUUUAAGAAAAAAAUCAUCCACACUCUCAAGAUUGGUUUAAAUGAUCACAUAAAUUCUUAGGUUUCAUAAAUGGUCAUUAAGACUUUUUUUGACAUUUAUAACCUUGAAUUGUAGUUUAAACUUUUAUGAUAAGUACAAUAGAAUACUAAGAUAAAAAUAUUAAAUAAAUAGCAUAUAUAUAUAUAUGUCAUGCAAACUAUUUUUAAUAUUAAGAUAUUAUUAGUUUGCCAAAUAGAUUUUACUAAAACCUAAAUCCAGUAAUCCAAAAAAUAAUUUUAAACUUACGCUGAUAUAGACAUAACAUAAAAAAAUGUAAUAUAAAAAAUAUUAUAAAUAAAAUACUUAAUACGAAUUUUGUAAGUUUUUUUGAAUGUUAAAUAUAAUUAUUUUCUAUUAUUAAUCUAUGAAAAAAUUCAUUAAUAUUAAAAAAUUAAUUGUUAAUAAUAAUAAUAAUAAUAACAGUUUUGUUAAUUUAUAAAAUAUAUAAUAAUUGAAAUAUUAAAUAUUAUAUUUGCAUUUGUUAUAGAAUUUUACUCAAAGUCAAUCAAAUUUAAUGUUGUUAUAAUUUUAUUUAGUAUUGAACAAUUAUUUAUAUAUGAUCAUUUAAUCAAAACUUAACGGUGUGAGUGGGUUUUUCUUUCCCUCUAAUUUCUAAUGUCCUAACGAUACGUUAUACUCUUCUUAGCUUAGAUAUCAAUAUUCAGAAAUAAAUUGGACACAACCGUUACCUUUUAUGGCAAAAAGUGUAACAGAAAUUCUUUUUUUUGGACAAAGACCUCCCUUGAGGUUUGGACUAAUAACAAACUAGUUAUUUGUGUGCUAUAUACUGCUAGAAGAACCCAAUAUUACGUGAAUACCCCUAUCAGAUAAAGUUACCAAAAUGACCUCAACUGGAAAGUUUCUAAAUAAUUGUGGCGCGGUCGAUGCAGUGACACCUCACCACAACUAUGGACUGUGAGUCUGUGAUGCCAAAUGUGUCCUUCUAUUUUAUUGAGCACUUUCUUAAGUAAAAAAACCAAAAAGCCAAAAAAGUGUUCACCAGAUCCACCGCCGACAAUAGAUUGGCCUUGGUUGGUAACGUUGUUAUGUUGGAUAUUUUAUUUAAGAUAUGAUUGUUGGAUAUUUUAUGAGUUAAAAGAAAUUAGUAGAAAGGAGAGUGGUUAAUUUGAAACAGUUGUAUAAACUUUGAGUCAUUGACCUCAUGCAAUCUAAUAAAAGAUAGAGUUGUUUGGUAGUAAAUUAGUUAUUAGGCGGCCUAAUUCGAAGAAUGAAAAAUGUUUAUCUCAAUUUAAGAUUUUAAAAGAACUAAUAGCAUUACAAAUAAAAUAAUUCAGUAGUGCAAUAUAAUCUAAAUGAAAGAUAAGUUAAUUAUCUGGACAAAUUAGUUAUUGUAGCCUCCUCAAAUAUUUGUUAAAGGGGAUAAACAACUAAUCCUGAAGGCAAAACAAGAAUAUUACAUUUUGCUUAAUGAUAAUAAUCUUGGUGAUUUUCUGAAAAGAAAGAAAAUGAUCAAGAAUCGUAACGAAAUGUUAGCUUAUGGAAGUACGGAGUAAUUUAGGCAAUAAUAAAUAAAGCAAUUGUUAGCUUAUGGAGAGAAUCUGUUUUCAAAUAAUUAAGCAAAAAUAUGUGACUACAUUAGAUUAAUUCAUUAUGAAGAAAAAAUGUUUUCAUAACAAAAUGACAUAACAUGUCGGAUAUUAUCCGAGAAUAUAAAAGAAACUAGUAGUACAAUGACAUCUUCUAUUUAUAUUUUUAAUUACCUCAACAAAUGGGUUGUUGCAGCUUGUUUCUUCCGAAGUUUUUUAAGGUAGACAAAACCAAGAAGCAUUCGAGGCAAAACAAAUAAUGGAGGUUCUUUAAUUUGCAGGAUGAAAAUAGUCUUUAUGAAUAAUAGAAACAACACCAAAGUAAGAACUGAUCAUGAUUGAAACGCCUGCUUCUAUAUAUAUAUAACUUAAACAACAGAUUUAAUGUAGCCAAAAACCGACAAUAUUUGAUGAAGCAAGGAAUCAAAUGGGUGUGCAACGUAGCAAGCAAGAUAAUGAAUCAAGGAAUAAAGGGAAGAAUAUAGCUAGUUUGAAGUAUUAAAUCAAGGAGCAACGGAAUAUGGCUAGUUUGAAAUAUUAAUUAAGCAAAGAAUAUAUGAAUUAUAUGUAAAAAAAAAAGAAUAAAUAACAAAUUUUAAGUUACUUAUUGAGGUAGGAAUAUAGAUUCUUCUGCUCUUCAUGAUAUUAUCUGUAUACAAAAUAAUUUCUUCAUCAGGGUAUUGAUACCUUCUCGCCUUGAAAAUUAAAUUGGGCAUAAAUGUAAAAAUUUAGAAAAUUUUAUUUCGUGGGAGAGUAACAUUGACCUUCUCUGAGGUUUUAAUUUGUAGAAAAUUUUAAUAUUAACUAACCAACGAACUGUAUAUUGUGUCCGACUGUUUGGUACAUGCAAUGUGCUAUUGAAAACAGUAAUUAUGUAAUAUGUUGGUUCUAAAUGUACUCAGAUGGACACGCCUUAGUGAUAAAAUUAUGAAAAUAUCCUCAAUGUCACCCCGGCUCACCCAGGAAUUUUUUUUGUCAUUACAUCAGCUAUGGAUUGAAAUGUCAAAAGUGUCCUUUUAUUAUUGAGUAGUACAUUUUCAAAGAAAAAUAAAAAUUAACCUACCGUUAAUAAGUUGCAUGACACAUCAGUUUAUAAACAAAUAUUUUAUAUCUUGACAUUAUUUAUAAGACAAAAUUAGUAGUCUCCCUAUGUGGAAAUACCAAAAUUAAGAAUAUUUUUAUUUUUUUCCUUUAAAAGAAAAAGUAAAGCAUAAUUAAUAAAUAGUGCUCAUUUCAAGUGGUGAAUAUAUAUUGAUGUUAAUUCAGUUGAUGUAUGAAUUAUGCAUAUCAACUUUACAAGUGUAUGUAUGAGUACUCAUUCACUAAUUUUUUGUUAUUAUUUUAUUUUUAGAAUUAAUUUGGUAAGUUAAUAUUUUUUUUCUUUUUCAUUACUAUCCCUAAAAAUGUUGCAAGGACAAUAAAGUAAAAGCAAAAAAAAGUUUGGAUUGGAGUAUACAUAAUUAAACCAAAGAUGUUUUAAAGUAUUCUUCAAAAUAUAAAAACUAAAGGGACAUUUUAAAAUAUAAGAAUUAAACAAAAAUUUACUUCUAUUAAAAUUUUUAUAUUACUGUAUUAACUGUGUGAUGUGGUUGCUAUUUCAUCGCCAACAUCGUUCAAGGUUGGAGAAUAAUACAGAUCAUCAGUGUUGUGAUCAUCAACAAAGUUGAAGAUCUACAUCAAGUAGAGGAUCUAUUCAAAAAACUUCAAAAGAACUGAAACGACCCGCUCCGCACCCCCAGGGCGAGUCUAUCUAAACUCGUAAAAUCGAAUCGAUAAUAUUUAUGAUAUCUAAGAAUUCUAUUAACAUUUCGGCAGAAUCUCCCUUAUAAAUAAAACAUUCCCAAACCUACAAUUUACAAAGCAAUACUCCCAAAAAUAAUUCAAUAUCCAUCCAUCCUUCAUAACCAACUUCUUAAGUCAACAUAUCAAACAUCACCCAAAUCAAUGGUUAUCCUUAAUUACAAAAUAUAACAAAUAAAUACAAUUCGCAAUAACCCAAAAAUCAAAAUUAUUAAAUCUAUGACUCCUAGCACCAUCACGUGGCCACAAUUUCAAAACUAACAUUCGUUGCUGGGUCGACUGAUGUACCUACAAAUCUCCUAGGGGGGAAAAUAUAAUAAAAACGGGAUGAGUAUAAAACUCAAUGAGUUCAGUGAGUGGAUAGUAGUUUUUUAAAAAAAUAACUUUAUUUAAAAUGAUUUAAUCUUUCUCAAAUCAAUUUCUCAAAUCAAUUUCAUCAAAAUCUCACAAGAACUUAUAUCAACUUAUUUAAUUCAAAUCAGUCACUGAAAUACUAUAUUACAUAAAUCUGCAUAAAAUCGAUGGAAACAUAAUACUUAUCAUAUCAAAUACUGAAUACCAAAAACUAUCAUCAAACAAGUACCCAAGGGAAUAAUCUCAUCAUAUCCGGACCUCGACGGACGGGCAAUCAGGGAACCAUCAUGCCCUGGAGCUACAACGGAUAGAUGGGAAAAAUCUCAUCUCAUAUCUCAUGUAUCUCAACAUAUGUAUCUCUGUAAUCAUCAUACUGCAUGCAUAAGCCCCCAAAAGGCAAAAGCGCCCAAACACACGGCCCAAAGCCUUUAUGUGUGUUCAGACGGGCCCCAAAGGCCUCUAUCUCAUCUCAUAUGUAUCUCUGUAUUCAUCUCAUAUUAUAUGUAUCUCUAUAUCUGGAGGGAAGGGUACUGUCCAAUGAUUUUCCAAACAACAUUUAUACUCAUAUACAUAAACAUAUAAUCACAUCUGAAAUCUCAUUUUCUUUCUAUGCAACAUAUCUCAAAUAUGCUCAAUUCUAAUAUCAUGCAUAAAAUCAUUAAUCAAACUCAUUUUUAAUAACAAUAAAUAUCGACACGUAGAUAAAAAUCAAUUUCUAGAAAAUCAUUAAAUCGAAGCAUUAAACACUUAUUUAUCAAAACAUACUGCACUGUAUCAUAAAAUCAACAUAUACUAUGAAAAUAGAUUUUGUAUAUUCCACUCACAGUGUCGAUGUUCAGACUCGGUAUCAACAACGUCCGCGGGUUGAUUCUCGCUCGCGGAUCCUCCUAAUCAAGGAAACGACAUAAUCAUUCUCCGUAAAUUUGAAGCGCAACUAAUCUUAUAUAAUAAUUCUCGAAACGAAUAUCUAUCAACAAUAACUAUUCCCGCAUGCACAAAAUUACCAAAAUACCCCUAGAUGCCAAAAUUACCAAAAUGCCCCCAACAUCAUUAUUUUACCAAAUUAUCCUCAGAAUCUUCAAUUACCAAAUUGUCCUCAAUUCAGAUCACAUAAAUAACCACAAUGUCAGAAAUUACGAAAUUAACCUCGGAACGUAAAUUUACCAAAAUGUCCUUAAUGACUUAAAUUACCGAAUUACCCUCGAAAUCUCAAAUUACCUCACUGCCUUAACUUAAAAUUACCAAAUUAUCCACUGAUUAUUACAAAUUCACCCUAAAGUUUUAUGAAUUUACCGAAUUGCCCCAGCCGGUCAACGGUGACCGGACUUCAGUCAACGACGACGGGAAGCUUAGGUCUGAUAGUUCAGACCUCGGUGAGUCCAAUGGUGCCGGCGGUGACCUCCCACGCGCGGCAACGGCGGCAAAUCAGCUUCCAAAUCCGCAAGCUUUCCAAGUGGCUGAUCGUCAACAAUCCGACUGUUUCAGGUGACGAGGUUGGUCGGAAAAUAAUGUUGGUGACGUGAGGAGUAGAACCCAACUGGAAGUGUGCCUAAACUCCGGCGAAAUUGACGGUGGCGAAAACGGGUCUUGGCCGCGAGUUUCUGAACUCAAUCGCCGGCGUUCUGGUCGGUUUCCGGUGACGAGGACUGUUGGGUUAUGACGGUCGGCUUCCAAGCUUCAGAUCGAUACCAAGCUCGGCCGGUGAGGUGGCCGGAAUCGCGAGAUAUGGCCGGGUCAAGGUCGCGGGUUCCGGGUCGGAUCCGGGUCAAACUCGGGUCAUCUCUCUCUCUCUCGUGUCCCUCUCUCUCCUUCCUUUUAAAAAACAAUUCCCCCCCCCCCUUUCUAUAUACAGAACCCGAAUUCUUCUUCCUUUUUUUUUAAAACUUAAGCUUAAUACAAAUUAAGCUUAUACCGGUGCCGAGACGAAAAUAAAAUCCGACUACUUGAGCUUUUAAUCGCGCUAAAUUUAUCUCGAUUUAAUGUCGUGACAAAUAAAAUUAAUAUCGAAGAGGAAAAAUUAAAUCACACACUAAAAUCAAAGUGCAUAUGUUACAAUCCUCCCUCCUUAUAAAAAUUUCGUCCUCAAAAUUUACACAUUUGAUGAGAACAGGUGAGGGUAUUGGGCUCGUAUUAAGUCUUCGCGUUCCCAAGUAGCUUUUUCCCUUGUGUGAUUCCUCCACAACACUUUUACUAAUGGAAUGGUUUUUGAACGCAAAACUUAGUGCUUCUGUUCUAGUAUUUCCACGGGCUCUUCUUCAUAAGUCAAGUCUUCUUUCAGCUCAAUUGGUUGUCUCGAUAACACAUGACUAGGAUCAUACACGUACUUCCGGAGCAUCGAGACAUGAAAUAUAUCAUGGAUUCUGGAUAACUCAGGUGGUAGAGCUAAUCGGUAUGCCAACGGACCAAUACGCUCCACGAUCUCAUAUGGUCCAAUGUAACGUAGACUUAGCUUCCCGCGCUUCCCAAAUCGAAGUACCCCUUUCCAAGGAGAUAUCCGUAUGAAAACCUUAUCACCCACUUUAAAUUCAAGUUCCCGCCUACGCUUAUCUGUAUAGCUCUUUUGUCAGUUUUGGGCUGCUUUUAAUCUUUCCCGAAUAAGUUGUAUCUUCUCAUUAGUAUUCUGAACCAAUUCGGGACCAAGAAGCUUCCGCUCUCCAACCUCGUCCCAACAUACGGGAGUUCUACAUUUCCUGCCAUACAAGGCCUCAUAAGGUGCCAUCUCGAUGCUAGCUUGAUAACUGUUAUUACAAGCAAAUUCCAUUAAGGGUAAAUAAAUGUCCCAACCACCCUUAAACUCCAAAAUACAAGCUCGUAACAUAUCCUCCAGGGUUUGAAUAGUAUGCUCUGACUGACCAUCAGUCUGUGGAUGAAAAGCUGUACUAAAAUUCAACUUGGUGCCUAAAGCCUUUUGCAAACUUAUCCAGAACUUAGAAGUAAAUCGGGAAUCUCUAUCUGAAACAAUAGACACAGGUGCUCUGUAAAGUCGAACUAUCUCGGCUACAAAAAUAUUCCCUAACUUGUCCAUCGAAUAAGUGGUCUUGAAUGGUAAAAAGUGAGCAGAUUUUGUAAGUCGAUCAACAACUACCCAAACACUAUCAUGACCACUCUGCGUACGUGAAAGUCCCGCUACAAAAUCCAUGGUGAUGUGCUCCCAUUUCCACUCAGGGAUAGGAAGCGGCUGAGAAAACCCUGCAGGUCUUUGAUGUUCAGCCUUAAUCUGCUGACAAACUAAACACCAAGAUACAAAUUCAGCCAUCUCACUCUUCAUACCUUGCCACCAGUAAUGAUCUCUCAAGGUACGAUACAUCUUCGUACUACCCGGAUGCAUAGCAUAAGUUGAACAAUGAGCUUCUUCCAUGAUCUCCUUUUUCAACUCUUUAAUAUCGGGUACGCAAAGUCGAUAUCCCAUAACUAAAACUCCAUCAUCUUUCACCGCAAAAUCAGUUCGUAAGCCUUUUUGCACAUCCUCUUUCAACUUCAGUAACUGCAAAUCCUGAUCUUGCAUUUGAUGAACUUUGUCAAUCAAAGUCGGCCUCACUUGAAAAUUAGCUAUCAAAGCCCUGCAAUUUUCAACUUCCAAUUCAACUCCCAAAGAUCUCAGCUCGAUCAAUAAAGGCAUAUAUGUCCCUCGCAAGUGAGCUAUAGAGCUGGAAGACUUCCUAUUUAGCGCAUCAGCUACCACAUUUGCUUUGCCCGGAUGAAAAUCAAUAGUGCAAUCGUAGUCUUUAAUCAGCUCAAUCCAUCUCCUCUGUCUCAAAUUUAACUCUUUUUGAGUAAACAAAUACUUCAAGCUCUUGUGAUCAGUGAAAAUCUAGCAUGUUGCUCCGUAUAAAUAAUGUCUCCAUAUCUUGAGUGCAAAUACCACUGCUGCUAAAUCUAAAUAAUAGGUUGGGUAGUUUUGUCAUGCUUUUUAAGUUGCCUAGAAACAUAAGCUACUACUUUCCCAUGUAGCACACAACCCAAUCCUUGACUGGAUGCAUCACUGUAUACUACAAACCCUUCAUUACCCGAUGGAAGUGUAAGAACUGGUGCUGAAGUAAGUCGUGCCUUGAGUUCUUGAAAGCUCUUUUCACAGUCAUCAUCCCACUGGAACUUAGCAUUUUUUUCUAGUUAACCGUGUCAGAGGAGUAGUAAUCUUGGAGAAUCCUUCCAUAAAUCUACGAUAAUAGCCAGCUAAUCCAAGGAAACUUCGAACCUCGGUCACAUUUGUAGGCCGUUCCUAAUUUACAACCGCUUCGAUCUUUUGAGGAUCAACAUAAAUUCCUUCAGCUGAUAUCACAUGGCCUAGAAAUACUACUUUAUCCAACCAGAACUCACACUUGCUGAACUUGGCGUACUCCGAGAAUACACUAAAAUGUCGUUAAUGAACACAAUCACAAAUCGAUCCAGAUAAGGGCGGAAUACCCUAUUCAUAAGAUUCAUAAAAGCUGCUGGGGCAUUAGUCAACCCAAAUGGCAUCACCAAAAAUUCAUAAUGUUCAUAACGAGUUCUGAAUGCUGUUUUAGGAAUAUGGGCCUCUUCAAUUUUAAGUUGAUGAUAUCCCGAGCGCAAAUCGAUCUUAGAAAACACAUUCGCUCCCUGAAGUUGAUCAAACAAGUCAUCAAUACGAGGAAGUGGAUAUUUAUUACGCGCUGUAACUUUAUUCAACUGCCUAUAGUCAAUGCAAAGUCUAAGAGUACCAUCAUUUUUCUUAACAAACAAAACCGGAGCUCCCCACGGAGACACACUAGGUCUAAUAAACUCUUUAUCCACUAAUUCUUGCAGUUGAAUCUUAAGUUCCUUUAGUUCAGCUGAAGCCAUCCUAUACGGUGCUAUAGAUAUAGGAGCCGUCUCAGGGACUAAAUCAAUAGAAAACUCAAUCUCUUUGUGAGGUGGCAUCCCUGGAAGUUUAUAUGAAAAUACAUUUGGAAACUCCUGGGCUACUGGAAUAUCCUCCAAUCUCAACUCCCGAACUUCAGUAUCUAUUACGUGUGCCAGAUAAGCAGAGCAACCUUUUCUCAGUAAACGUCUUGCAUCAAUGGCCGAUAUGACACAUGAGGGUAAAACUCUACGCUCACCGUAAAAUUUCACCUCAAUUUCUCCUGGCUUAUUGAACACAACUUCUUUUUUGAAACAAUCCACAGUAGCAUGGUGAGAUGCAAGCCAAUCCAUGCCCAAAAUGGCAUCGAAAUCUCGAAUGUCUAGAAUAAUUAAAUUCGCCCUAAAUUCAUGCUUACCCAAUUAAAUCAUGCAAUCUCGAUACACCCUCUCGGCAAGCAGUGACCCUCUGGUAGGUGUACUAACAACUAAACCAUAAUCCAACAAUUCAGGCUCUUUCUCUCUAUGCAUAACAAAUGUACGAGAAAUAAAAGAAUGUGUGGAUCCAGGAUCAAUAAGAAUAUGAGCAUCAUGGCCAAAGAUAGAUAAUGUACCCAUAAUAACUUCUAGUGUAGCAUGAGCCUCCUACUGUGUCAAGGCAAAAACUCGAGCCUGAGUACAAGGUCGACCAGGUUGACCUCUCUGACUUGGAAUAGUGGCCUGACUCUUAGAUAUAGAACCCCCUGUUUGCAUAUCCCUUUGACCCUGAACUGGUCCAGCAUGAGAUUGAUACUGCGGGGCUGUCCCUCGAGCAAAACUAUCACCCUGAGAUAAAGUAGGGCAGAAUCCCCUUAUGUGUCCAGGCUGACCAUACAAAUAACAAACUCUGUCUCCAACACGACAUUGGCCCUGAUGAUUGCUGCCACAUGAAGGGCAAGAAGUCUACUGGAAACUCCUAGAACGAUCAUCACGAUAUCCCCCACCACUGCGGUCAUACUAUCCCUGAUUCCUGGUAUUACUCCCCACUGAUGGUUGUGCCGAACUGUAACCGGCGGCCUGUCUCUGAUCUCCCCUGCUACUUAUACUCUGAUUCUUUUGCACACCAACAGAGUAAUUUGUAUGUGAGCCUCUCUUCGGCGGUCUGCUGCUCGAGCCACCCUCUGUCCAACUCUGGCUACGUUUUUUGUUUCAGAGCCUGAACUCUACGUCCCUCAGAGAUAUUGUGUUCUACUCUCUUAGCUGUCUCAACUACCUCAGCAAACUCAGUGUACCGUGAUGCUGUCACAGUUGUACGAAUUUCAAAUCGGAGACCCUCCUCAAAACGCUUGCAUCUCUCUCUCUCAUCACCAACUGCUGAAAUGGCAAAUCUAGAAAGAUCCAAAAAUUUCUUCUCAUACUCUUCUACUGACAUAGAUCCUUGAACCAACCGAAGGAAUUCACUCCGCUUAAUAUCCUGAUACACAGCUGGAAAAUAAUGAUCGUAGAAUUCCUUACGAAAAAUAGCCCAUGUAAGCGCAGCAUGCCCUUGGUAUCUACGCUCUACUGUUUGCCACCAAUGAUAAGCCCUAUCUUCGAGUAGAAAAGUGGCAAAUGAAAGUCUAUCCUCCUCUAAGCAUCUCAUCAUAUCAAAAAUACGUUCUAAUUUAAUAAGCCACGACUCUGCCUCAGGUGGAUCUUCAGAACCAUUAAAACUCUUGGCCCCUAAACUUCGUACACGCACGAUAGUAUUUGCAUGACCGACAUGCGGAUGAGUCUGAUUCUGUACCAUUGUAGUCACAAUCUGAGCUAAUCUAUCAAUUGACUGCUCAAUGUUCGGAGCAUUUCCUGGUGCUUGUUACACAACCUCGUGCGUAGAAGACUCAACUAUUCCCUCGUUUACGGGAUCAUUUUCCCCCGCAGGUACAUCUCCUGGAGUAAACCCAGCUACUAGCCUAGUACGGCCACUACCAUGGCCACGUCCGCGGCCACGUCUACUGCUACGACGAAUCAUGAUGGUGCCUACAAAAUAUUAAGUCUGACUUUAAUAACAAUAAAACUUAUUCUAUUUACGACAGUAAAGUCUACAGAAUCUAUAACAAUGCUCUGAUACCAACUGAAACGACCCGCCCCGCACCCCCAGGGCGAGUCUAUCUAAACUCGUAAAAUCGAAUCGAUAAUAUUUAUGAUAUCUAAGAAUUCUAUUAACAUUUCGGUAGAAUCUCCCUUAUAAAUAAAAUAUUCCUAAACCUGCAAUUUACAAAGCAAUACUCCCAAAAAUAAUUCAAUAUCCAUCCAUCCUUCAUAACCAACUUCUCAAGUCAACAUAUCAAACAUCAUCCAAAUCAAUGGUUAUCCUUAAUUACAAAAUAUAACAAAUAAAUACAAUUCGCAAUAACCCAAAAAUCAAAAUUAUUAAAUCUACGACUCCUAGCACCAUCACGUGGCCACAAUUUCAAAACUAACAUUCGUUGCUAGGUCGACUGAUAUACCUGCAAAUCUCCUGGGGGGAAAAUAUAAUAAAAACGGGAUGAGUAUAAAACUCAGUGAGCUCAGUGAGUGGAUAGUAGUUUUUUAAAAAAUAACUUUAUUUAAAAUGAUUUAAUCUUUCUCAAAUCAAUUUCUCAAAUCAAUUUCAUCAAAAUCUCACAAGAACUUAUAUCAACUUAUUUAAUUCAAAUCAGUCACUGAAAUACUAUAUUACAUAAAUCUGCAUAAAAUCGAUGGAAACAUAAUACUUAUCAUAUCAAAUACUGAAUACCAAAAACUAUCAUCAAACAAGUACCCAGGGGAAUAAUCUCAUCAUAUCCGGACCUCGACGGACGGGCAAUCACGGAACCACUGUAACAUAUGCACUCCGAUUUUUCUUAAUAAAGUGAGUGAUUUAAUUUUUCCUCUUCGCUUAUAAUUUUUAAAUUCGUCACGACAAUUUAUCGAGAUAAAUUGAGCCGACGAGUUCUCCCGUUUCUGACUACCUCACCGGCCGUGCUUGGUACCGAUCUGAAGUUUGGAAGCCGACCGUCGUAUCCCCGCUGUCCUCGUCGCCGGAAACCGACCAGAACGCCGGCGAUUGAGCUCGGAAACUCGUAGCUUAAACCCAUUUUCGCCGCCGUUGAUCCCGCCGGAUUUUUGACGCACCACCACUUGGAACUGGUUCCUCACGUCUCCAGCAUCAUUUCCCGACCAACCACGACCACCAAGGACGCCGGAAAAUCACCAAACGAUCACCGGAAAGUUUCAGAUUUUUGGAGCUUCGAUCCGCCGUCGUCGCCGCGCGUGGGAGGACACCGCCGGCACCACUAGACUCACCAAGGCCGGAACUAUCAGACCUAAGCUCCCCGUCGUCGUUGACUGAAGUCCGGUCACCGUUGACCGACAGGGGCAAUUCGGUAAAUUCAUAAAACUUUGGGGUGAAUUUGUAAUUUUAUGUAAUCAGUGGACAUUUUGGUAAUUUACGCUCCGGGGGUAAUUUCGUAAUUUUCUGACAUUGUGAUUAUUUAUGUGAUCUGAAUUGAGGACAAUAUGGUAAUUGAAGAUUCUAAGGACAAUUUGGUAGAAUAAUGAAGUUUGAGGAUAAGUUGGUAAAAUAUUGAUGUUGGGGGUAUUUUGGUAAUUUUGGCAUGUAGGGGCAUUUUGGUAAUUUUGUACAUGCGGGAAUAGUUCAUCGUUGAUAGAUAUUCGUUUCGAGAUUUAUUAUAUUAAAUUGGUUGUAUUUCAAAUUUACGGAGAAUGAUUAUGGCGUUUCCUUGUUUAGGAGGAUCCGCGAACGAGAAUCAACCCGCGGACGUUGUUGAUACCGAGUCUAGACAUCAUCACUGUGAGUGGAAUAUACGAAACCUAUGUUCAUAGUAUAUGCUGAUUUCAUGAUACAGUGCAGUAUGUUUUGAUAAAUAAGUAUUUGAUGCUCGAUUUAAUGAUUUUCUAGAAAAUUGAUUUUUAUCUAUGUGAUGGUAUUUAUUGUUAUUGAGCAUGAGUUUGAUUAAUGAUUUUACUAUCGUUUUUGAGUAAAGGCAUGAUGUUAGAAUAGAGCAGAUUCGAGAUAUGUUGAAUAGAAAGAAAAUGAGAUUUCAGAUGAGAUUAUGUAUAUGAGUAUGAAUGUUAUUUUUGAAAUCAUUAGACAGUACCCUUCCCUCCAGAUACAGAGAUACAGAGAAUAUGAGAUAAAUACAGAGAUACAGAUAAGAUGAAAUACAGGCUUUUGGGGCCCGUCUGAACACACAUAGAGGCUUUGGGCCGUGUGUUUGGGCGCUUUUGCCUUUUGGGGGCUUCUGCAUGCAGUACAGAGAUAUGAGAUAUGAGAUUGAGAUUUUCCCCAUCUAUCCGUUGUAGCUCCGGGGCAUGAUGGUUCCCUGAUUGCCCGUCCGUCGAGGUUCGGAUAUGAUCAGAGUAUUCCCCUGAGUACUUGUUUGAUGAUAGUUUUCAGUAUUCAGUAUUUUAUAUGAUAAGUAUUAUGAUUCCAUCGAUUUUAUGCAAAUUUUGAUGUGAUAUAGUAUUUCAAUUUAAAUAAGUUUGUUUAAGUUCUUAUGAUACUUUGAGAAAUUGAUUUGAGAAAGAUUAAAUCAUUUUAAAUAAAUGUAUGUAUUUUUCAAAAUUACUAUCCACUCACUGAGUUCACUGAGUGUUAUACUCAUCCAUCUUUUAUUAUAUUUUUCCCCCCCACAGGAGAUUUACAGGUACAUCAGUCAACCCAGUAACAAACGUUAGUUUGAUAUUGUGGCCACGUGAUGGUGCUAGGAGUCGUGGAUUUAAUUAUUAUAAUAUUUGGGAUUUUUGCGAGUUGUGUUUAUUUAUUAUUUUAUGUAAUUAAGAUGUAUUCUAAUAUUAGGAUGAUUUGGAUGAUAUUUGAUACGUUGAUUUGAGAAGUUGGUUAUGGAGGAUGGUUGGAUAUUAAAUUAUUUUGGGAGUGUUGUUUUGUAAUUUGCAGGAUUUGGGUAUGUUUUAUUUUUAAGGGAGAUGCUGCCGAAAUUUUUAUAGAAUUCUCAGAUUUUAUAAAUAGUAUCGCUUCGAUUUUACGAGUUUAGAUAGACUCACCCUGGGGAGUGCGGGGCCGGUCGUUUCAACCAUCAUGCCCCGGAGCUACAACGGAUAGAUGGGAAAAAUCUCAUCUCAUAUCUCAUGUAUCUCAACAUCUGUAUCUCUGUAAUCAUCAUACUGCAUGCAUAAGCCCCCAAAAAGGCAAAAGCGCCCAAACACACGGCCCAAAGCCUCUAUGUGUGUUCAGACGAGCCCCAAAGGCCUCUAUCUCAUCUCAUCUGUAUCUCUAUAUUCAUCUCAUAUUAUCUGUAUCUCUGUAUCUGGAGGGAAGGGUACUGUCCAAUGAUUUUCCAAACAACAUUUAUACUCAUAUACAUAAACAUAUAAUCACAUCUGAAAUCUCAUUUUCUUUCUAUGCAACAUAUCUCAAAUCUGCUCAAUUCUAAUAUCAUGCAUAAAAUCAUUAAUCAAACUCAUUUUUAAUAACAAUAAAUAUCAACACGUAGAUAAAAAUCAAUUUCUAGAAAAUCAUUAAAUCAAAGCAUUAAACACUUAUUUAUCAAAAAAUAUUGCAUUGUAUCAUAAAAUCAACAUAUACUAUGAAAAUAGAUUUUGUAUAUUCCACGCACAGUGUCGAUGUCCAGACUCGGUAUCAACAACGUCCGCGGGUUGAUUCUCGCUCGCGGAUCCUCCUAAUCAAGGAAACGACAUAAUCAUUCUCCGUAAAUUUGAAGCGCAACUAAUCUUACAUAAUAAUUCUCGAAACAAAUAUCUCUCAACAAUAACUAUUCCCGCAUGUAAAAAAUUACCAAAAUACCCCUAGAUGCCAAAAUUACCAAAAUGCCCCCAACAUCAUUAUUUUACCAAAUUAAUUGUCCUCAAUUCAGAUCACAUAAAUAACCACAAUUUCAGAAAUUACGAAAUUACCCUCGGAACGUAAAUUUACCAAAAUGUCCUUAACGACUUAAAUUACCGAAUUACCCUCGAAAUCUCAAAUUACCUCACUGCCCUAACUUAAAAUUACCAAAUUAUCCACUGAUUCCAUAAAUUACAAAUUCACCCUAAAGUUUUAUGAAUUUACCGAAUUGCCCCUGCCGGUCAACGGUGACCGGACUUCAGUCAACGACGACGGGAAGCUUAGGUCUGAUAUUUCAGACCUCGGUGAGUCCAAUGGUGCCGGCGGUGACCUCCCACGCGCGGCAACGGCGGCAAAUCAAGCUUCCAAAUCCGCGAGCUUUCUAAGUGGCUGAUCGUCAACAAUCCGACCAUUUCAGGUGACGAGGUUGGUCGGAAAAUAAUGCUGGUGACGUGAGGAGUAGAACCCAACUGGACGUGUGCCCAAGCUCCGGCGAAAUCGACGGCGGCGAAAACGGGUCUUGGCCGCGAGUUUCUGAACUCAAUCGCCGGCGUUCUGGUCGGUUUCCAGUGAUGAGGACGGCUGGGUUAUGACGGUCGGCUUCCAAGCUUCAGAUCGAUACCAAGCUCGGCCGGUGAGGUGGCCGGAAUCGCGAGUUAUGGCCGGGUCAAGGUCGCGGGUUCCGGGUCGGAUCCGGGUCAAACUCAGGUCAACUCUCUCUCUCUCUCUCUCUCUCUCUCUCUUGUCCUUCUCUCUCCUUCCUUUUAAAAAAACAGUUUCCCCCCCCCUCCCUUUCUAUAUACAAAACCCAAAUUCUUCUUCCUUUUUUUUUUUAACUUAAGCUUAAUACAAAUUAAGCUUAUACCGGUCCCGAGACGAAAAUAAAAUCCGACUACUCGAACUUUUAAUCACGAUAAAUUUAUCUCGAUUUAAUGUCGUGACAAAUAAAAUUAAUAUCGAAGAGGAUAAAUUAAAUCACACACUAAAAUCAAAGUGCAUAUGUUACAAGAACUAAAUUACACAUGAAUUGAAUAAUUUAAUGUUUUAUUUUCUUUAAUCGCAUGCACUGCCGAAAAAAAUUCCAAUAUGUGCCAUUACACAGUUGGAGGUAGAAAUAGGUAGGGUAAAUGGUUUUAGUAAUUAAGUGUCCUUUAAUAAAUUAUUCUCAUUUUUUGCGGUGAGAUCUUUUGAUUUCCUAUUUGUUGCGACUUCUCCUCUAGUUGCCAUCGCAUUUUUGAGAAAUUUUAGAGAAUAUUACAGGUAUUAUAUCUAUUUAAUACAUGUAUGGUCUGUGUGCACUAAUUAAAUAUAACUACAAAUUGCAUGAUAAUUUUUAAGGUGCACAAAUAUCAUAAAAUAAUUAAUUAGGUGUAAUAUUUUUAAUGUAUUCUAAAAAGUAGAACCUUUCUCUUUGUCUUAAUUUGCUACUUCAGUUGCAAUCUAUUAUCUUUCUUCUUUAUUGUUAUUAUAACUCACGAACUUUAAAGUUUGAACUCAAAACCUUAGCUUUAAAAUUUGUCCAAUAUACAAAUGUGCGGAUGUCUUUAUUCUUUUUCUUUUAUUUUACAAUUUGCUUGCUGGACUUAGUAAAUGUAAUUACUUAGUAAAUUUAAUUUUAUCAUUUUAAAUGACCAUUUAUUUUAAAUAUAGUAUGUAUUCGAAAAUAUAUUAUAUGAUAUAUUAGUAAAUUUAUAUUACUUGUAUUACAUCUGCCUAAAUACUCGCAAAAACCCACAGAUAAUUAUGCUUGUGUCAUUACCUUUCCAGAUGGGUACAUGGACGGAAAUAUUUAUGUACUUUGUGUUUACAUAUUGAAUACAAGUAAAUAGAUGUUUUCAGUCAAUUUCAAUUAUUACUUUAUCUCUUUUUGCCAGCAACGCUUGCUGACAUAAUUGCCCUUUGCUGUGCUUCUAAAGUUGAUAUUCUGUCAAUUUUUUUUGUAAUCAUUUUUCUCAGACCAUGUUUUAAAUAUAUGUGACAGGUCCAUGUUGAACUGAGGAAAUGGCUUAAAGACAAUGUCAACGCUGAAGUUGCAGCAUCAACUAGAAUCAUCUAUAGGGGUAUCAUUUCACUACUUUAUUAGCUAUUAAUUGUGACCACUAUUUAAAAUUAAUUUUGUGCAUGUUGUAAUCGUUAUUAAUAUAUAUGGAGCCGGGCAUGGGCUUAUUGAAGCUAAUGGCUGGUCUUUUUAGAACAUUUUCUUGUACAGGCAAAGUAAUAAAUAGCACCUUACAACUAAACAUACAAUAUUAUUACUCCAACCUGUUUAUUGAACUUACUUUGGCCUUUUCUGUUUGAUAUCAAGGAGAUAUAUUCUCAUGUAUAUGCUUCUGAGAUAAGCAUUCUUUUGCUCUGUUAGGUGCUUAAUAUUUUUUCUUUUGCAAUAAUAAUUUUAGUUCGAUUGGUUCUUAAACAGUUCCAAAUAUUUAGAAAAAUGAAAGUUGCGUAAGGAUAUAAUAUACAAUGCAAACUAUUGAAAAUGGAUCCAAGAACAGAAUUCUCUGCCACUGAUAUUUUAUUCAGCUUAAUUAAUUAGAGGAGUAAUGAUAAUGUUGUGAACCAGGCCUGCUUUUGUAUUCCUCGUUUAUAGGUACUAACAGACUCAUCGAUAUUAUCAAGUUUCCACUCAUCAACAUUUUAUAAUUAGAUGUCGUUCAUGAUUUAUCCUAUAGGUUCAUUUUGUAGUAUACCACUCGGUUUAAUGCUGAAGCUGUGAAAAACUUUUUGUACACUCUCAAAAAUGGCAAGAUACCGAAAAAGAAAUUUAAUUGUAGGUUGUCCACUGAACGACUGACAAGUGUUUGUUAUUAUUUAGGCAUUUCUUCCACUUUUAUUUUUGGGGUUGGAACAACAGAAUGAGAUAUAUUUUCACAGCUACUUUCAAAAUAUUUAAUGACAAAUGCAUCAUCCAAAAAGAACCAGCGAUUUUGAAUUAAAUUUUUAUGGAGCUCUGUUGUUUGGCUGUAUUAAAGCUUGAUGACCUUCGGAGAUAUCUAAUAUAUAUCUCCAGAAUAGGAAACAUAUUUAUCUGUUGUGCUUCUCUAUAUGUGGUUUGGGGUGGCAGUGGAAAUGGGGAGAAUAUGGUACUGCAUUCUAUUGUCUCUUUGAUAUACUUUUUUUUUAAAUAAUUAAUUCAUAUUAAUGCUUGGUGUACUUAUUUGUGCUAUUUUCUUGUCGGUUCUUGCUUUUGGAAUUUCCUUUUGCAUUAGAAGGAAGGAGGAAGUUCGUUUUAUUAUGGGCGAGUUUGGUUAUGGCUACUUUUUAGGAUGUGUAGGAGAGAAACAAAAGAAUAUUUGAGGAAAACACGUGAGGAUAUUUUUGUAUAUUUAGGAGAAAGUGAGGAUCUGGGCUUCUCAUUGGGCUUCCAUUCCAUUUUUUCAAAGUUUAAUGAGUCUCCUUUUAAUUCUUAGCAACUGGCAAGAAAUGGCAGCAGCCUGAGAAGGAGAGUUUUAGCCUUUUCAUAGAUUUUGUGGAGACUUUCAUGUUUAUACUCUUGGCUAUAGUUUGUGCGCUGUCAUAUUAGUAAUAGAGUUUCAAAUCAUUUGUCCAUGAUUUUCACAGGAUAUGUGCUAGAUAGAAAUAACCAUAAUGUUUUGCAUGCCUAAUUUAAGUUGCAUAAAAAACAUGGAGUUUUACUUUAAUAGAUAACUCUUUAUAUUAUAGGGUUGGCUAUAUUCAUUAAUGUUGCACAUGCAGAUUGAGUUUGAAUUUGUAAUGAUUUUGUUGCAUCUAAAACUUACGAGUUUUACUGUAGUAGUUAAUUCUUUUUAACAUUAGUGCUGGGUAUAUUCAAUUGGUGUUGCAUAUGCAUGUUGAGAGAAACUGCUCGUCUUGGGAGUUUUGCUGGGUAUUUGUUGAGAAUGGGAGUUUAUCUACUGGAAUUUUACUGAGAAUAUGGGAGGAGUUCUACAUUACAACGUUUGCUAGAAUUAGCUUCUUAAUUACUUUGGAUGUGUUAACUAUUGCAUACAAGUGUUUUCGGAUGAUGUUAUUAAUACAAAGUGUUUUUGGACUUGAUAAAAUGUAUAAUUUAAUUUUUGGUUCAUAUUGCAUUUAUGAUUGAAUUUCAUAUACAAGAACGCAUAAAUUUAAAUGAAAUAUUUCAUAAUUGCUUUCAAUAUAAAUUUAGAUCCUAUGACAGAAAAUAUUAAUUAUAAAUUAAGUCACAAAAAAAAUAAUUUAUGACAGAAAACAUCAAUCAUAAAUUCCGUCAUAAACUAAGUACUCUACCCACUAAAAUUAUCCAUAUGAUAAUUUACACGUGAAAAUCAAUUUUCAUGUCAAAUUUCAAAAUUGAAAAAAAAAAUUCCUGCCAAAAAUUAAUUAAUAUAUUCAUUUUUUUAUGACAGACAUAUGACAUCUAAACAUUAUCAUAAGUUAAUGACAUUUUUUUUCUAUCAUAAAAGAGUGACAGGUACAUAAAUGAUGGAUAAUUUCAUUGUCAUCCACCCUGCUUUGUGAUAGUUUUUUUCCGUCAUCUGUUGCCAGUUUUCUUGUAGUGUAUUACCCUUCUUAAUAACCUCAGAUCCCUUGACAAUUUUCAUCUAACUAGAUUCCAUCUUAACACUACAUCCUAUUUGAUUAAGCAUUUCCAGCGAAAUUAAAUUCCUUUUCCGAUCAGGCACAUACCUAACCUGUCUAAGUUCCCUAAUGAUACCAUCAUGUAGUUUGAGAUUAACAUUGCCAAUUCCGAAGAUCUGACACACAGUACAACCUAAGUCUAGAACUCAUUUACCAUUUUCUUUGUUGUAUGUGGCAAUACAUUUUCUAGCAUGUUUAUAUCCUCCAUCUUCUGCAACAACUGCAUCUCCAUUUUUAUCCUUUUUCUUAAGCUUCCUUUCUGGGUAAUCCUUCUUAAAAUGCCCCUCUUUAUGCAUAAGAAACACUUCAAGUUCUUAGGCUUUUCCUUGCUUCUUUUUCUUCCUUCUGGCUUUGCUUUUGCUAUUAAACCUUCACUAGAGCCAUUUCCAAGGCUUUCUUGCUUCCCUUAAAACUCCUUAGUGCUAAAAGUUGACUUUACCUCAUCCAGAGACAAUGCAUGCCUGCCAUACACUAAAGCAUCAACAAAAUGUUCAUAAAACUUGGGCAGAGAGCUUAUUGAAAACAAUGUUGUAUCCUCAUCGUUCAAUGUUGCACCUAUAGUUUCUAGAGUGCCGCACACUUUGUUAAACUCAUCAAGAUGAUCAUCAACGGAUAAGCCUUCAAUUAUUUUCAAUAUGAACAUUCUCUUUUUGAUGUAUAAUCGGUUAGCAAGAGAUUUUUUCAUGUAUAUGCUCUCUAAUUUGGCCCAUAGGUCAACAACUUAUCGAUUCUUUGGCCACUUUCCUUAUCACUGAGUCUGCAAAGCUCAAGAUUAUUGUUUCCCUUGCCUUCCUAUCAAAUUCAGCAGCCUGUUCAGGGGUCUUUGAAAAGGGAACUUCCUUCUCUUCCUUCUUGGUGACUGGUUUAAUAACAUCUCCAAGGCCUUGUGUAAGUAAUGCCUCCAUUUUUACUUUCCACAUAUUAAAGUCAUUUUUACCAUUAAGCUUCUCAAGAUUGAUCUUUGGAUUAGCCAUAUUUGGAUCUUGACUCUAUAAUCCUAGCUCUGAUACCACUUAUAGUGCUCCGAUAACCCAAAAUACAGAGCUAUCAAAGCACUGCCCAAGAUUGAGGUCAAGAACAACCAAAUUGCAUAUGAUGAUCAGAUCAGUCUUUGAUACCUUUAAUUUUAAACCAGAAACUUCAAUCAAGGUUUCUAGGAAUCAAAGAAGUAAGAAACUCAACAAACACAGCAAACAACACACAGAAGAAAAAAAUUCAAUUACGUGGUUCAGUUGUGCUGUAAACACAACCUACUUCCACGGGAGAAGCCACCAUAAUGAGUAUUAUUAUUGAUUCAAGUCAAAAUUAUAGAGCUUUUACAGAGAUGAAUACAAGAACAAAGUAUCACACUCCACUCUCACUAAGAUCUCUCUAGAAAGUUCUCGAUUUCAUGCAUUGAAACCUACUCAACAAUCAGCUCAGAUAUUAGCCGAUACGCAACCCAGUUUUCACAGAUUACAGCCACGUGUAUAAUGGCUUUGUAACUGAUUUGAUUCCCUUCGCACAUGCAUCCCCACACGCCUCACUAAAGCAUGCUUAAAACGAUGUUGAAUGAUGUCGUUCAAAGAUAUAAGUUGAGCACAUGACUCGCUCGUGACUGGUUAAAGCAUUAUAACCAUUUGAAACGCUGUCGUUUAAUGACCCCAAGUUUUGAAUUCAUCAAUUAGAUCCACACUUCUAAUGUUUGUCAAGGGGAAGAAAGCAACAAGGUUGAAGCCAAAACAAUAUAACCUUUUGCUGAAUGACACUACUCUUCGUGAUUUGUCGGGAAAAAAAAGAAAAGAGGAAAAAAGAAUCAUAAUGAAUGCUAGCUAGUAGCUAUUUAUGCAACAACGGAAGCAAAGAAGGUAAUCAAUAAUAGAUGCAUUUUAUCACAGUACUAUCAUAUGUACAAAUAAUAAAGGACAAAGUUCCGACCAAAAUUUUAUACUCAAAAGCAACCAAAAAAAAAUAAUACAUAUAUAAUAAUGAAGAAUCCAAGAGAAACAAUCGCAAUAAAAUAUUGCAAAAGUCACUGGUGAAUUUUUUUUUUAAAAAAAGAGAGGUUUGGAAGAAAAUAGCUAAAGUUGAGUUGCGAGGAUAAAGAAUAAAACGAGUAUAGUGGCAAAAUGGUUGAAUAAAAUAAAUUAAAAAAAAUUUGAGAAAACGACCUUGCCCACGCCUUCAGCUUAUGUGCCCACGUUUUUUGUAAUUAUUUUGUACACAGAAAUGGUUUUCUUUUUUGAAACAUAGUGCAUCCUGCACAAUAAUGUUAGAGCUAACCAUAUGUUGGAAUUUGGAUGAAAAUCAAUAAUAAUACUCAUUAUGGUGGCUUCUCCCGUGGAAGUAGGUUGUGUUUACAGCACAACUGAACCACGUAAUUGAGUUUUUUUCUUCUGUGUGUUGUUUUCUGUGUUUGUUGAGUUUCUUACUUCUUUGAUUCCUAGAAACCUUAAUUGAAGUUUCUUGUUUAAAAUUAAAGGUAUCAAAGAUUGAUCUGAUCAUCAUAUGUAAUGGCUCAGUCAGUCUUGAGUCAUUUUAUUGUAGGUGUCUUAUAGUGCUAUAUUAAAGAACAAAGCACUUGUAAGAGAAAAUGCAUCCCUCGCACAACAAACUCUAUUUUUCAUGUUCUACAGUUCCUUACCCAUUUAAAGAACGCAUAAAUUGAUAUAAUAAACUUAAAACGUACCUGAAAGAGUAAAAUCUGCACUUAAACUCCACAUACCUGAAGUCCCUAAUAGAGAGAUUUAACUUAUAUUAGUUCCAUUGUGUUCGCACAAAGAAUUGCUUUUGUACAUUUAACUUGCUUCCUCACUUCAGCUAUAGCCUUGGCAGACUUCCUCACUUCAGAUUUAAUUUGUUUAUUGAACUCAUCUGCAAAGUAUUCAACCAACAAUAAUUCCAUAUUCUGACUGCCAAGUUCUGCAUCUCAUCUAAUAUCCUUAACCUGCAAAAUUGUCAAAUAUCAACUAGCAUCAAAAAGUAAUUAGAUAUGCAGAACAUAACAAGUGGCACAUAAAGAUUGUAUGGAGCACCGAUGAAGUGAAGAAAAAUAAUGCUACGGGAAUAAUAACCACUCAACUCAUAUUGCAUGCUUAUAUCCCAAGAUUAUUUAGUCAAAGGGUACAAAUACUUACAAAUAGCUUAUGAAUCCAUCAUAAUGGCUAUCAAAUACUAUUGUUCUAACUAUGGUAUCAGAGGCUUCCAAUUCAUAUGAUUGCAGCUCUCUAAAUCGCUAGAUUUCCGCUUACGAGCCCCCGCUAGCCUCAUUCCUGUAAUGAAAUUACAAAAUCAUUUAUCGUUUCCAAUUCACCUUCUCUUAAUCUAAUAAAUAAACAUAUAGGUUCUUGCAAGCUAAUUACAAGUUUUAAAUCUUUUCAAAAAAAAAAACUACGAGUUUUAAGAAAGAAUUACCUACUGUGUCGGUUGAUUCGAUCCGCACAAGAACAAAUCAAAGUGUCGCGAGAUUUGUUCUGAUUUGAUAUAUACCUUAACUUUCAGCACCGUUAACUUUCGAUUGCACUUUGCCGCGAUGAUUAUAAUUUCGCCGUCGAUUGCCCGAAAGUGAAAGGCCAUAUUCAUGUUCUAAUCACUAGAGGUUUUUAAUUCCCACAAAAAUUGCAAUCCUCUAAUUCUAAUUUUACGUCUUCAUUGCUGUCUCGAGAUCAAUUUUCUGCAGAAAUCAGUGAAACUCUAAUCAAUUCUAAGAAAUUUCUGGAAUCUACGCUCACUGAAAUGCUAUAAGAUUAGUACUCAACCAGCUGCAACGGUUGCUAGUCACCGCAUCAAUUAUCCAAUAAUUAAUUUCAGCCGUUAGAUUGAAUAAGCAAGCAUCCAACGACUUUGUUAAAUAAGGAUAAAAACUAUGGUACGAUACUGCAGUUGCAACAUAGAUGGAUCCCACAAACAAAUAAAUAUCAAUUUUCUUGAGAUUUCUUUUAAUAAAAGAAGGAGGCAGAGGAGAAAAUCAUAAAAGCAUCUGGCGCGAAUUGUUGAUGAAGAAGAUGACGAAAGAUUUAUGAUUUGGGUAUUAACUAACUUCCUUAUAUAUAUGUAUGUCUAAUUUUUUAGUCCUAAUAUUGAUUGGCUAGUUGUUUCUGACAUUUUUUCCCACAUAACUAAUUCUUCUUGUAAGGAAAGAAAUCUAAUAAUAUUGUCAUCUUUAUCCUUAUUUAGUUAUGGAAUAAAAGAGUUCAAUUUUUCUCUAUAAUUUAUAAUUUAUUAUUAAAUUAAUUUAAUCACUAAGGGUAUAUAAAUUAUUUAACUUCAUUCAUAUUUUCAAAAUAUUUAAAUUUUAUAACUAACAUCAAAAUUAUAAGUAAAAUGAUCAAAUGACAUAUAAAGUUAAUAUCAUUAUAACUGUAGAAGCAUUUGAACCUAUUUUUAAAACAUGAGAGACAAUUUCGUUUAAUUUUUUCUAAAUAAUAAGAACAGUCCUCAUUUUUCUGUUUUAAAGAAUGUCUUUUGUGAAUGUGUGGUCUUCUGUAAAAUUGAAAUUGUAAUCCGUUAUCUAAAAAACGCAAUGAAUAUUUUAAAUAAGCUACUUGAAAAUUUUAAAACGCAAUGAAAAUUUUUCAGAUUCUGGCGAAAUAGAAACUUUGUCCAAUUGCUUCUCAGAUUUGAAAAGUGCAGGCAACGGACAGCUACUUGUCCUCAAUAAUUCAUAGGAGCGACGUCGGUUUGAUACCUCCUAAAAUUAUUUCGAUUAUAAGGGGAAAAAAUACGGAAUUGAAAGUAUAUUAUAUUUGAGCUGUUUUCGGAAUGAUUUGAGUGCUCUCUAGAAGGAACUAGAGUGCUCUAGCGAUUGCACAGCUUUAUUUAUUUUACUUUUUCUCUUUUCGCUUUUAAAUGUUAAAAAAUCUAUGCGGCGUGGGCCGUAUUUCCGCAAUUUAUUAUUUAAUCAAAUUGUAAAGUGAUCGUUAGAUCUAAUCCAAUGGCCAAAAAUACUCUCUUGUAUUAUAACUAUAAUUCAAGCUCAUAAUUUAAUAAUAAUAUUAAAUUAUCAACUCGUACAAAUUAAUAACUUUUGUAAAUUUCAACAAAUUUUAGAUUUUAGAUUAGAACACACAUAUAUGUACACACACAUAUAUAUUAAACAAUAAACACAGACAAAAAUUAAUGCUAUUUUAUACAACAUAAAUGGCCCCUGUUCCAAAUUAAAAUAUUGGCAUUAAUUGCAUUUGGCAAGGACAGACAAUGAAUAACUUGUUUUCAAUAAUUAACAAGAUGAAAGGGGAUCCAAACACAGGUUGAAUGACAUCUCUUACCUUUUUGUAAAUGACGACUUUUCUCUAAUUGGCACUUGCAGUAGUUAAAUUUUAAAGGGGCCGAUAGCUCUCUACUAAGUAUUAAUUUGUCAAAAUCUGAAGAAUCAUGACUUUUUUUUUUAAUGAGAUCUUCUUAUUUUUAAUUUUUACUUUCAAACUUCUAUAUAGGGCUAUCCAUGAUAUUAUAUUUUAAGCUGAAACUUUUUCGAAUGCUAAAUUACGGACAACACAACUGAAUAAAUAUGUCGAUAUCUAUUUAAACUUUAAAUUUUUCAAAUAGGGUGUCACUGAUGUUAUUUGAUGAAAAUACAGUCAGAUCACACUUAUAAUUAUACCAUUGAAAACCGAAAGCGAAGGGAAAAUUUUUUCAUGACUAAAUUAUAGAUCCUCAGUCUCAUUAGUUUUUCACUAUCGUCAAGCAAGCUCUUAUUAGCUUGCAAAGGGCAUUAAACCCUUCAUCAACACUUUUUCAAAGACCAAUUUUGUCAUAAAACAAGCAUAAAAAAAUAAAUCUAAUUGGUUAAAAUAAUUAUAAAUAAAUUAUUUAAAAAAUAAAAAGAAUUAAAUUUUAAAUGAAUUAUAAUUUUUUUUUAUUCUUUAUUUUGUAUUUAUUAAUUUAAUUAUAGAAUAAGUUCAUUUAAUGUUUAUAUUUUUAAAUUUUAAUUAUACUUUAUAAUAAAUAUUGAAAAUUUAACAUCAAUGGGAGAACUUGUCCUAAUAAAAAAUAAUUUCCUUUAUCUUUAGAAUUUUAUAUCAAACCUAGAAAUAGUAGGAAAGCCCAUAUGGGCAAUGCGAACCAAGCUUUGUCCUACUCGAGAGUGAGGCGAGCCAGAUCCAGGCUUCAGUAGUACAUUUGAUAAGCCUGGGCAUGGGAAGCCCUAAUUUUAUUGAAAAAGUUUUAAAAUAUUAAUUAUAUUGAAUAAUUAUAUUUACUUAUCCACCUCUUACAUAUGUUAGGAAUUUUAAACCUUUAGCUUCAACUUUUCAAGCCUAAUUUUAUUAUAAUAAAAUUUUAAAAAUUAUAAAUUUAUCAAAAAAAUUAAAAAAAAAUUAAAAAAAAUUAAAAAAUACAAACUCUUGGCUUUCUAUGCCCAGAUCAAAUAGUCCUUAGUCAUUACACUCCCCUCUCCCUCCAAUUCCUCUCCUUAAUUCUUCUUUCCUUUCCUUUUUAUUUUUCCUCUCAUUUAUUCAAACCAAGCACUACCAUAAAAUAUUAACCCAAAUUUUGUUAGAAUUUUAGUAUAUCACCCAACAACCAUCUAUAAUUUUAGUAUGUUAGAUAGUGUAGAGGAAAAGAAAUUCCAUAUUAGACAAAAUUGAAAAAUAAAAUAUUAGUUAAAAAAUAUUCUCAAAUUUGCAUCGAUUUGUGCAUAGUAGUGACCGCCUUCUCAAUUGCUUCCAACCAUUGAUUAGAGAGAUCCUUGAGUAGCAGCAAAGUGUUUACCCUUUUGGUGCAAUUUAUUAUUUAUACCCCAAAUUAAAAUCCUUGAUAUAAAAAGGAAAACUCUAAGUUACAUUUCAUGUAACUUACACUCACGAUAUAAAAAGAUAUUGUUCUUUCACAAAAGAAAAAAGGGUCAAAAUGUAGAAAGAAAUUUCUCUCUUUAAUUUUGAGAGAAAUUUUUUUCUAUUGUUAGUUGUUUAUAGUAGUAAUAAAGACACCCAUAUAUCAAGUGCAGAUUGAAUUUGAGUCAUAACUUGAAAAAUCGUUGGUGAUAGAUCAUGAUCUAAUAAGAUCAUCGAUGACAGAUCAUAAUCUAAUAAGAUUAGUGGUGAAGGAUUGUGACUUCAAAGGCUAAAUUACUUAGUUAAAUUACUUCUACGAGAAAGUAAAGGUAUGAUUUCUAGAUUAUGAUAAUUUCAUAUAAUGUAUGGGAACUUCAAUCUAAAUAUUUAUAAUAUAAAACUAUUUUUAACCAACAAUUCCUACAUAUAGUUUGAUGAAAUCAUAUAUAGAGAUGAUAUAAUUAUUUCAAAGUAAGUUUAUUUUCAAAAAACUAUUAUCCAUUUACUAAGUUCACAAAGUUUCAUACUCAUUCUAUUUUUCUAUAUUCUUCAUCCCCCCCAGCCCAAAACCUAAACAAGAGAUUCGCAGGCACACGAGAGACCUAGUGAUAAGAGAUAUUUUGAGUUAUUCCCACUUGAUGGUCCUAGGAUUGACAUAUGUUAUUAUUAUGACAUUUUGGAUUGUAUAACUAUAUUUUGAUUAGAUGAUUAAGGAUGAUUAAUGUAUGUUGACAUUAGAAUGGUUGGGUGAUAUUUGGUGUUAUAGUUGAGGAGAUUGAUUGAUGAAUUUGGUUGAAUAAUGAACUAUUUCAGAAGUGUUUAUUUUAUACAUUUGCGGCUUUGGAAAAGUUAUAAAUGUAGGGGAAACUUUGCCCCAUUUUUUCGGCAAAUUCAUAUUAAUUAGUUUAUUACUAGUCAAGUUAGAUGAUAAAUAGACAAAUUCACCUUUAGAAUUCGAGCGGGUCGUUUCAUCUAAUUCUUUUAUCUUUAUCUAGGAUUGUAGUGUCCAAAAAUUAAGUAAAUAAUUAUUAGUAUUAAUUUGAUUGGAUUAUUAUGGUUAUUGAUUUAUUUUCAUAUUUCAUUGUUAAAUUUUUUUAUUAUGUCAUUCACUAUAAGAAAAAUAAUAAUAGAUGACUGACACUUUAUGAUAAAAAUCGCUAUAUCAUAAGAGUAUGACAGGGUUGUGAUAAAAUUAUUGUCUAUCAAAUGAUUAAUGAUGUACUUGUGAUAUAAUUUGUGUUUAUUGAGAAUUUAUGAUAGGAUAGUGAUAAAAAUAUACUCUAUCAAAAACUUUGUGAUAGAAUUUUAACAUUGACCGUGUUUGACCAAAUUUUAAAUUAAUAUUUUAUUAAAAUAAAAAUAAAAUCAAAACAGGGCUUUUAGACUAAGACAUAAAAUUUUCUCAUGUCACGGAACUCACUUAGUCUGUUAGUUAGUCACUUAUUGCUCACCACAUAACGCAUGCCACUCAUCAACUAACACUGUGAAAUCAAUGCCACUAUGAUUUCAGUAUUCAAAUAGUGUUCUUGCUGUCGUUAGAACACUGAUGACAACUACGAUGACGAAGCACGCGCAAAACUAGGCCACAAGUCUCACCAAGUUACGCUUCCAUGUCACCACAACUCCACAUCACUGUCACUCAAAGCCAGGCCAAGCCGCCGCUGCUCUGAGGUAAAUUUUCCGUUCAUAGGACUUGCAUUGCUUUUCAUCAUAGAAGAUCGAGUAAAUUCAUUUUCGUAUGUGUUGAUUUUUGUUUUGAGAUUGUGAUAGCGAUUUCCGUUUUGAUGGAUUUGAAUUUAGAUUCUCAGAGAAAUACGUGAGAUUGUAAAUAGAUUUUAAAUUGAUUAAGUUGUUAGGUCUUCUAAAUUUUGUCAAUUUUUUCCUUUUUUUUCUGAUUUUUGGGCUGGAUUCAUGGUUAUUUCUCAAAUUAUCUCUACUGACAUGCUAAAGCUUAAGCUAUUAAAUGUUCAUGUACAUUCAAGUGCUUAUGUCUAUGCCGAAUGCAUCUUGAACGUAUGAACUUUGCAUUUUGAUGAUAUUAUUCAGCAGUCUUUUCUUUAUUGGGGCUAAUAUUGGUAUUUUCUGGACUGAAAAAAAAUUAGACGAAAUAAUAGUUUCUAACGAAGCCUACUAGGUGUUUGAUGGAAUGCAUUAAAGAAAAAAAAUUGCCUUAGUUUUUAUUUUGUGGCAUAUUCUGUUGAAUCUUUCAUUUUAAUUUUUAGUUUUUGUAGGUUGAACAUACAUCUUUGAUAAAGUGACUACAUGAAAAGGUUUUUAAUUAACACUUUCAUAAGUGGAUUGUAAUUGUCAUGUUAUCUAUGCAACAUGUCCAGAGAUUAACUUUGUUAUUUGGCCCCAAAACUGCAAGGAAUUAGAAUACGGCAACUAACAUUUGUAAGGUAAUCUAAUGUCUCUGUUUAUACCUGGAGCUCAUAUUAUAAGUAAGCUAGUUGAUUUGUUUUGUGUCUUAUUAUUCUUGUAUUCUAUAUUCGAUAUAUGUAGUUAUUGCAGGAACUUAUUAACUUGGAUUUGGCUUUGGAUUUUUAUAUGGAAUAACUUUUUGUCCUCUUUAUUUCACUUCUUUAAACACCUGUCUCUUCCUUUUGCACAUAUGUUUAACACUCUUUUUCUAUUCAAUGAUACCCAAAAAUAAUUGAUAUUAUCUAAGUAUUUGAAAUUUUAUCUCAAGAAUUAUAAUUGUACUAGAAAUUAAAAAUUGAGUAGCUUUUUUAAGCAAAGAUGUUGACAGUGUUUGUUUUAGCCAAAAGAAUAAUCAGUGCUUUGGAAGAAAGAGGAAAAACAUUGUUUCUGUGGUUUAUAUUUUCUAGAGCGUAUUUACAAAAACUUGCUAAUGGUAACGACAUUCGCUGGAGUUGUUUUUGGGUUCUUUGUAGGAGUAUUACAAAGGUAUUCACUGAAAAAGCAUAUAAUAGACAGUUAAGCUGUUGUAAAAGGGUAUUCACUGAAUAAGAUAAGAGACCCAGCUUUCUGUCUUGUUCUUGCAUCUCAGUUUUCAGACAAUUGUAAACUAUUUUCUGUAACUCCCUGGUCUUCAUUGUGCCUUUGGGUAACUCUUUUCUAAUUUGUUGCAUUAAAUAUUAUGGGUUCACUUAAUCAUUUAAAUUUAGUAGUUUAUGAGUUAUGUUAGGUGACAUAGAAAACAAGUGUGGUUUCUUAAGCUAUUUGGAAUAUUUUAAUUGCUACUGCUUCACUGUUAUUGUAAAGAUGUUUACCUUAAUUCUUCAUUGGGUGCAUCAUAUUCAUGACCCCUUAUUCUCUUUUGAAACUGCAAAAUGAUUCAAGCUGCCAAAGUUUUUUAAGUAUUUUGAGAAUGAACUUGGAGCAACUGUGAUAUUUGGAUUAUUUGCAAUAUCUUGGGUCAUUCUACGAUUAAUAUUCUUCCUCUUUUGGGUCAUCAAAUGUACAAGUUUUUCCUGCAUGAUAAAUGAUUUGAUGCCACCUUAUUUGGUCGUCUAGCAGUUUCUUUGGCUUAUUUGCUUUUUUGAUUUGCAUUUUCCAACUAUGAUCUUUAGUUCUACUUGAACUUAUCAUAUAUACUUUCAUUUACUACUUGUUCAAUACAAUGUUGCCGACGCUCUUUGUGGUCCAGAUAUGCUGGUGGGUUCUCA
rnacentral:lncRNA from 1 species